UGCAGAACCAUCCAACUCUGUAAAAGCUUACAAUUAUUUAUGCAAUCUGCAAUUUACAUAUAGAAUUUAUUUAUCACCCAGUAUAUGUCAUUUAUCACCCAGUAUAUGUCAGAGUAUCAAACCCUAACAAAUAUAAAAACUAGAUUUCAAAUUUCCAUUUGGGAGUAAACUUGUCAUGUUUAAAAUAGCCACAUUACCAGCUAAACAAAAAAAAUCCUGGAGAAACAAAUGGAAUAGAAUACCCCUUUUGAACAAAAUUGAUCAUAAAUGAAAAUAUCACAUCCAUAUUCUCUGAGCAUCUUAAUUUAAGACUAAAAAAUACCAAUUUUUGGUCUAAUCUAUUGAAAUUGACUACUAGGAGCUGAAAUAUCUGGACACAAAAUUGGACUCUUGAUAUUUUUUUAAUUAGCUGUGACUUAGGAGGACUCAGCAAGAUUCUGCCCAUUUCUUGGCAUUUGGUGACCUGAAUAUCCCCUCUCUUGGCGUGGGUUCGGUCGAUAGUAACCAUUUCCUCUUGGUUUGUUGUACUCGCGAUCACCACCAUCUUGACCAUUUCCUCUGCCAUAGCUUCUUGAAUUGAAACGCCCUCUUGGUGCAUCUGAUUGAUAGCUACCCCUGCCUCUACCCCGUCCAUCAAUAAAAACAGUUAUUUGAAGAUGAAAUUAUUAAGAGACAUUAACCUUGCGACUUCUUAUAACAACACCAUCAGGCCUGAUUCUACCAAAAUUCUUGAACUCCUCUUCAAUUUCAGAAGGAGACACUGUAGGCGUCAGGUUUCUAACAUAAACGGAUUUAAUUUCAUCUGAAAUCAUAGCAAAAAAAAUAUUAGAUUUAUACCCAACAAAAAUUAUAUGCAUAUUAUGUAAUGGGCAGUGAAAACGUGCUCACUGCCAGAAAGCAGCUAUAAAUAAUAAAUGGAGGAAUAUGAUAAUUAAUCAAUUCUAUAAAACAAAAAGUACACAGUAACCUUCAUAUUCUGCUGCAGGAAGCUCUUCCACUGCAUCUGGUUCAGACCUUUCAAAUGCAUUUGCCGAUGCGGUUGAUUGCUGAUUACUGCUAGGUGGAAUGUAGUCCCAUUCUGAAGGGGAAACGUUCUUAUGAGAGGGCUGAGAAGCCACAGGUGUAGAUUGUCCUUUCGCAACACGUAACUGCCAACAACAGUCCAUAACAAGGUCAGUUCCAAUGUCAUAACUAAAUCCCAAAAGAAAACAUUGUUUGGAUAUUAAUAUAAUGGUUAAUCAGAACAUACAAUGGAGGCAUAAGUGUGCUUUUGUGGCUCCCCAGCAGGUUCUUCAGGAGAAGCAGGUAGGUGAUCUUGCACGGCAUUCCCUGAAGAAUGAAGUGAGCCAUUUGAGUCCUCAGCAGCAUUGUCCUCCCUAAUAUGUUCAGAAUCAGGGCCUCGCUGAAUGCGUUGCUCUGAAUAUCCAUAAUUGUCGGCUACACCAUUUUCUUUGACCUCAUUUGUCCUCCCUACUAUCCUAGCCUGGAUAUCUCCACUCGGCAUAUAGUUGGAUACUGCAAAAUCCAUGGCUCUCAAUCACUUACAAGUAGAAACAUCACAGUUUCAAGAAUAAGUGAUAUUACAUAAACAGCCACAUUGGUUAUUUAUCUAAAUUUUUCUAGGACAGUUUGAUUUUUUUUUAAAAAGAUUUAAACAUUUAUGCUUGAUGAUAAAAUGUGGUUAGUGAUCAAGCUUCCCUGACAACUUCCACCUUUACACUUUUAAACUUUUAAGGAAAAACUAUAGCCAACAACUUGCAACAACAAUCUGCAUAUAUAUCAGGAUAAGGUUAAGCUUGCAACUGAUUAAUUUAAAGUCACAAACCAAAUGUAUGAUCUUAUAAUUCAAUGUCAGAGACUAAAAUCUAUGCUUCGGUUUGUUAACAGAAAGGAUGCAGUUUUUCCAACAAAGUUGAAGGAACUGAUGGUUUUGAAGUGUUGUUGACAGGAUAACAGUGUAUGAUACCAGUUUACAAUUGAUAACAAUGUAGCAAACAAAGUUAGUGAAAGUGAUAAACUAAUAAAUAUAGUACCUGUAAACAGUUCAAAAGAAGGGGAAAAGGGAAAAAAAAGGGAGUGCCAAUAGCAGUGGAUGUAAAAAAAAUAGCUUGAGAUGUAAAAGGGAAAAAAGCUCAUAAACAUGACAAAGAUUUCUGUCUAAAAGAACAAAUGAACUAGAGAUACAGAGAAUAGAAAAACAACAAAAGAACAUGGGACUAACAGUCUAACAUAGACUCUAAACUUGACCGGAUCCAUAAUUAUCAUAAACUGAUAAAAGAAUGGGUAACACCCAUGGAGAGAUUCAAAGUCAUAAUGACCACUGAACUUUAACAAGGGGAAACAAAGUUGUGCAUUUUCUAUACUACUUAAUUGCAAUAAGUGAUACUUUUUCAAUUCAGGUAAGUACAAGCUAGCUCAGACUUUACCUGGCAUAUUAAUUGUACUUGGAACAUUCAGUUUUGAAUCGAGAUUGCUCUGAGCUAACAAGACUGCCUGGUGGUGAUGGUGGUGAAUUAAAUCAUCUUCAACGAAGUGAAAAAUAUCAUUUAGCACAAAAAAGCCUUUUUCUUGGGGUGCAAGGAAGAAUGUCUGCAUAAAUUUCCUCCUCAGGUUGUCCUUAAUUUGCACAGAUCCAGAAACCAUCACAAUAGCGCCACCACUCCAAGACUCCAAAGAGUGUGCGGUCUUGAUUUCAAUUCCAGUGUAACUGAGUGACAUAACCAAUGUGUGGAUUUGCUGCACAGAGACAAGUUUUCUCAGUUUCGAGUGAAAUGGGGAUAUGUAAUUUACUAUUGUUGAAUGUGCAUAAACAAUUGAAGACAACGCCAAGUACCUUCAAACAAUUAAAGACCUAAUCAAAAGUAUUAAAUAGAGAACAGCAAUAUGAAACUACUUCACCAAGUUGCACAUUAUUCAAAAAGUAAACAACAACAUCAAUAACCAAGUCUUGUCCCACUAAGUGAGGUAAAAGGCUACAUGGAUCAAACGCUGACAUAAUGCUCUAUCAUAUACCAUAUUCCUAUCCAACUCAAUAAUCGCUGGAUCUUUCUUAAUAGUUUUUCUAGGUCUUCCUCUGCCUCUAGUGAUUCAAAAAGUAGACCUUUUUUCAAAAAUGUUCAAGUAAACAAUUUAUUAAAAUAUAAUCAGAAAGAAUCAUUUCGUAAAAGGCUGUAAUAAUUGUGAACACUACAUAAUUAUAUUGGCACAGUACAGUCAAUAAAUCUAAUGUGCACGCAUUAGUUUCCUAAUCAUAAUUUGUAACCAGUUUAAAUGCAAAGAGCUGAAUUUCUUGAACAACGGUUUUCAAGUGUACGCCACAUCACCUGAUGCAAUCACUACCAGAGAGAAGAAAACAAGAAUCUUGUAGAAAAGAAAAACAGAGAAGAAACAAGCGCCCUGUUGUCAAUCCGUUCGCCUAUUCUUCUCUAUAUUUAUCUGGAUUAAUCUUCGCUGCUGAGAUCUGUAAUUGAUCCAACCCACCCGUGCAAACCGACGAACCAACACAUCCGAAACCCGACAAAAACCGACAUGGGAAAUGGACGGGAAUGGGUGGCAGUUUGUGCUCGUCGGUUGUUGGUCAGGAUGGGAUUUCCGGUCCGAAUCCGGCCAAACCCGACCAGUGCCCUACCCUACCGCUGAGGAAAUAUUUCAAAUAAAAUGAAAAGCACAAAACAUAAUGCUGUAAAGGCCACAACAAUCAAUGGACCAUGAUGGAUCUUAACUACAGCCUAAUGAUUUGAUGCAAACAAAAAAGAAAUUCAAGUGACAAUGGUUGGUAUUUGCAUUGCAACUACUGCAAUACUUGCAACAACCACAAUUAAGAACAAUGCUCAUGAACUGAAUGAAACCAACCAUUAAACUUUAAAGUCCCGGUUGAAACUCUUCAAAUAAUAAGUUAGUUGUAUGAUCCAACAUGUCAUCUCUUCCGAUUAUCAAUAGAAUAAUACACAACAAACAACAAAACUUACGCCACAUCAAUAAAAUCAAUUCGAAAUCCUCAUCUGACCAUAAACACUAAACAACACAUGGGCAGCCUGGUGCACUAAAGCAGCAUACGCAAGGCCCGGGAAGGGGUCCCAACAUAUUCACAAAAAUUCUAUCUUAUCCAACCAACAACAUUUAUUUCCUACCCACAUUCAUUAAAUUCUUAAUCCUUUUCUUAACAACUUAAAAACCAACAAGUAAAGCCCAAAAUCAUAGACGUUUUGAAGAAAACUCACAAUCAUAGAUGUAAUAUAUGAAGCAGUGACACGACACUAAAACAUCGACAUCAAUGAUUAUUUGAAAAAAUAUAUAUAACUGAAUAUAAUCAUACAUGUCGGUGGUGUCGUGUUGUUGUCGGAAACUGACACACAUCACUGUCCGACACGGAUACUACGACAUUGAAUUACGUCAUUUCUAACAUUAUUACUGGCGUCGACGCCUCAGUGUCUAUGUCGUGCCAGUGAUUCAUAGUACCUGACACAGGUCUUCAACCAAAAGUGUAAGCUACCUAGGAUGUAAUCCAAACUUCUCAAAUCCAGAAUAAAAAGCAACCCAUCAUUCAUUUCAACAAAACCCACACUCCAAAAAUCAAACUUUCACACUCACACCACUCCAUAUUCACAACCAUUAACAUCAAAUUCCAGUCACACCCAAAAAAAAAUAAAAAAAUCACAAAAAAACAGGGAUAACAUCGAAAAAAACGCAUACAAGCAUUGCAGUAGCAGUUUCUCUAGCAUUCCCAUCAAUUCUUAGCAUAGUACUAGCAUCAGAGUAGAACUGAUGAACAAGCUCAGGUUGAUUCUGAAGCACAUGGUAGUACUGACCCACAAAGUAAGUCCCAAUCUUCACAAAGAAACGAAUUAGGAUUAGGGUUUGACGAUUGAGAAAGAAAUUGAAGAAGAAGAAGAAGAAGAAGAGUGUACCUGAGCAGCGGUGAGAGGAAUGGGAAAAGGUGUAGCCAUUGAUGAAAAUGGAAAAACCCUUCAAAACCCUAACGCCGUCAAAAUCAGAUCCGAAUUUCAGAGGGUAGAGAGAGAGAGAGAGAGAGAGAUUUUUGUUUUGUUUGUCUCUCUCUCAGAUGAUGGAUGAAGUUUGUGUUGUGCUACGAUGAUGCUGUUUGUGUGCUGUAUAUAUGCUUCUUUUCUCUACUCAUUUUCAUUUUCAUUCAAACAAAAAGUAAAUUAUAAUUUUAUUCCAUUCAAGUUAAUUAAUAAAUUACUAAUAUCAUUUUGAGUACCUUUCAAUUUUUUAAAUAUUUUUUAUGAUUUUAAUUUAUAAUAGUGUUUAAUAAUUUUAAGUCACCUCAAAAACAAAAAGAAAAAAUUAGUCAAAAAAAAAUAUAGUUAAAAUAAUUCUAUAAAAAAAUUGUUUAGAUAAAUUAAACUUCAAAGACUUAUUAGUAAAAUAAGGACGGAUUUUGAAGAUUCAAACAUUGUUUCCAAAGGUAUUUACAGAUCAUUUCUCACAUUUAUAAUGGAAAUAAUUGUAAUAUAAUUUUAUUCACAUGUUUUAUUAGAUUUCAUUAUUUUCGUUGGUUUAUGUGUGUAGAUAUAUAUUUCAUAUUAUUUGUGUCCAUGUUUUAAAGAGAAAAUAUGUUUUGGACUCGAACACUUAUAUAUUAUUAUUAUUAUUACUAACGAAAAGACAGACACUCACUUACUCGUUUUUCACUUUUAUUAUUGCAUUAACGUUUAAAAAUUAUGAACGGUGUUUUUCUUAGGAAAUUUUGAUUUUGAUUAAUGUAAAAAUAUAAAUGAUUUUUGCUUUUAAAUUAAAACAAAUCAAACUAACCGAAAUUAUCUAUUUCAAUGGCAUCAACAAUAUAAAAAGAUCUAAAUUCUUAAUUUUUUUUAAUGACACCAACAACAAUCUUUGUUAUAAAAGAAAAAAUUGUUUGAGGGUAUAAUUGGAGAUAACGAAAAAGUAAAUAUAAAUAUACUCAUCUAGUUUGUUACAUUUUUUAAAGAAUAAAAAAAAUUGGACAUAUAUAUACUCAUAUCGUGUUAUUACACUUUUAUUUUUAUAUUUGAAUUUACUCUUAUCUAUUUAUUUUAUUUUUAACAAACCAAAAUGAGAUAUAUUAUUAACUCGCAGGUGAAUCACCACGCACAAGACGUGCAACGAGAGAAACACCGCAAAACAGUUACAAAGUCACCGGUGCCGAAUAGUCGAGCACCGCCAUAAAACAAAUAAACAAAGAUGAAAUCGUUAAGUAACAACACCCAUACAUAAGAGAGGGUGUCGCCACCAAUCAUAAUAAUCAUAAACAAAAGAAGGCGAGUGAGCCUUUAACCACGUGAAAGAUGUCAGCUUGACUUUGUCCAAAAUGGUAAUAGGAUCGGAUGUCUUGUUGUUGAAGACUUUGUGUUCCUUUCCUUCCAAAUUAUCAUCUUAUCAAUUUAUAUGUGUUAUUUGUAUCAAAAGUUGAGGAUAAUUUUAAAAAUAUUUUCUUUAUAUAGUAUAGAUUAUUAUUAUUAUUAUUAUUAUUAUUCAUCAAAAUUUUAUUAUUAUAAGAUUUUAUUAUAUUACUCCGUCUUUUUGGAACAAAUUAACAUUUAUAUUAUAUAUUUUAUUUUAUAUGGUGAAUCUAUAUCAAAUUAAAUUUGGUGUCAAAUCUAAUUAGAUAUCUACAUAAAAAUAUUUAUUAUUUUUUCAUAAAAAUAAAUUUAAGGUAAGGGGAUGAUGUCUGAGGCAGGGAAAGGUGUUUAGAAAGAUUUUUACAUUUAUCUUCUUUCAAAAGUAUUAGUGAAACGCAACCCAAAAACUUUCGAAUUAAAUACCUCUCAGUCUUUAAAAGUUAAUCACAUUUUCAAUGUAUAUAAAUUAAAUUAUUUCCCUUAAAAAACUUAAAUUACUUUUUUAGGGAUAUAUAUAUAUAUAUGAGGAGGGAUAUUUUGACUGCAAGAGUAAGUUUAUAGACUUACUCCAAAUAUCCACCUUUCAUCUUAUUUUAAUCUAAUGGUUUAAAUGUGAGUUUUAAUUGUUAAUCAUGUGACCAUCUUUGUGGAUCUAAAUACCUUCUCCAAUUAUUCUCCCAUAAUUAAUUCUCAUAAAACAAAUUUCCUUUCUCUCGUAAAUGCACUCUUUAAGUUUUUUAUUUUAUUCUCAUAAAACAAAAUUCCUUUCUCCCUUAAUUACUUUUUUUAUUUAUUUUAACUCUCAGAAAACAACAAAAUUUCCUCCUAAUGCUUUGUACUCUAACUCACCCAAUGGAUUUUGUAUACACCCAAUUUCUUUGAUUGGAUAAUCAUAUAAAUCAAAAUAGGAUAUAGAGUGAUGGCUCUCCGUUUCACUCCAACCUCAAUUCUACAUGAUGGCUCUCAAUCCCAUUUUUUUCCUUUUUGAUUUAGAUUUCAAUAAAAAAAAUCUUCUCAUCCAUAGGUUCAAGAGGUGAGAGUGGAAAGCUUACAUUUUAAUUUAUAUUUCAAACUGCAAUCUUGCUCUAAUGUUGGAGAAAAAGAUUAAAAAACACUUUUUGAAUUGGCAAAGAUGCGCCAAAAAGAAAAGAAAAAAUUGGGGAGGUAUUUAUUACAUUAAUUAAAAAGGGAGAUUAAAUGGAGAAAAUAUUUCUAAAAAUGAGAUCCAAAAAGAUGGUCACAUGAUUAACAAUUAAAACUCACAUUUAAACCAUUAGAUUAAAAUAAGAUGAAAGGUGGAGAUUUGGAGUAAGUCUAUAAACUUACUCUUGGAGUCAAAAUAUCCCUCCUCUAUAUAUAUAUAUAUAUAUAUAUAUAUAUAUAUAUAUAUAUAUAUAUAUAUAUAUAAUAUAAAGGGGUUUGCUACAAUAGACCCACUCAUUUUUAUGAAGGUCUAUUUUAGCAAGUAGCACCUUUUCGUUUGGACCAAAAGACCCAUGUUUUUGUUUUCUGGGAAAACUAAAACUCAUGGGUACAAAUGUAAUUGUCAUUUUUUCUUUUCUUUUUUAAUUUAUUUUUACGAGAACUCUAAAGGUCCUUCAGUGUCUUUCUUCAUUCUCUUCCCUCGUUCUCUUUCUUCAUUCUCUUCUCCAUUGUUAUCCCUCUUUUUGAAUACUACAUACAUACUCCUUGUAUUGCCUUUGAACCUAAUUAAAUUUCUUUAUAAAAAACACCUAAUUAAAUUAAAUGAUUGGUAACACAAAUAUGUGAUUUGCAUCACGACCGUUAGAUUGGGAAAAAAUUGACCCAUGAAAGCCAAGCCAAAACACCAAACAUAAAUCCCAAGAACAACAUCUCACCGUUGUGGUAUAAUGCCAAACCAUGUUCAUAAUUUUUACAUGCUCACAUCAAAGUUCGAAUACUAAUAGGAAGCAUAUGACAGUGAAAAUCAUAUGAAAUUUUCUAAAGCUAUGAUGCAUUUCUGAGUUUUUUUUAGAUGUGAUGACGCAUGGAGAAAGGAAAAAAAUUAUUUUUGAUCAGUGAGUAGCACCUGCAACGUUAAUCAUGGCAAGCGAUGAGGGAAGAGGGAUAGCGGCAUAGAGAAGAUAACGAAGAGAGAAAACAUUCAGUUCUCGUAAAAUUAAAUUAAAAAAGAAAAGAAAAAAUGACAAUUACAUUUGUACCCAUGAGUUUUAGUUUUCCCAAAAAACAAAAACAUGGGUUUUUUGGUCCAAAUGAAAAGGUGCUACUUGCUAAAAUAGACCUUCAUAAAAAUGAGUGGGUCUAUUGUAGCAAACCCCAUAUAUAAAAUAAUUGCCUUUUUUUUAUUUGCGUGUUUUUCUUUCACAAAGGAACAAUUGUCAUAUCUUAUUGUCAAAAACUUCUUGUAUAGUGUCGUACAAAACUAUCAUAAAGCCAAAAAAAAUUCUUUUUACAAAAUUUUGUAGACAAAUCUUAUUCUCGAGUUUUGAUUUUUUGGUUUAGUAUAUAAAUAGAUGAAAUGAAAAUAGUCAUUGGAAACUAACACCCACAUAAAUGGAUGAGUAAAUAUUGAAAUUUUGAUCACGACAUUUGACCUAACUCUUGGGAUGAUUCAUUUUCGAUAAUUGUAGCAUUUCUUUCUUAAUAUUGAAAGUGAAUCACCCUGAGAGUUCAAUGAUUAUAGACAUGUAUGUUUGAUAAGGAGCAUGUAUAAAAUCAUUUUGAAGCAUCUUGCAUUAAGGUUGAAGAAAGUUAUUUAAUCGAUUAUUUCUUCAUGUCAAUCAAUAUUUUUCCGAUAAGAGAAAUCUAUGAUGAAAUUUCGAUGGUAAACAAAAUAAUUGAUCUUGCGAAGAGGAGGAAAUAUCAGUUCUUUUUAGUAUAGAUAUAUAAACAAGUUGCAACUUUAUGUUAUGAGUAAUACUUUUCUUUUGGGAGUAAUAACGAAUAAUGUUUUCAAUUUUCAUUUUAAGUAAUUGCACUGCCUAUCGAUUUAGAAUUUAAGGUUAUAUAAUCCAAUGAAAGGUAAAACUUUUUGUCUUCGACCUGUUUCUUUACACUAUUCUUCAUUGUUAAGAAAAUUUGGUAACUGUUUUUAUUUAAUCUAACUUUUGCAGAAGAACGGUAUAUAUAUAUUUUCUGAUUUUUAAUUCUUUGUUUAGUUUUGUGUUGUUGUGGUUAUGGAAACUGAUCCCUUACACCAAUAUUUUAGGUACACAAGAAGAUGUGUAAGAUUUAUGGUUGAUGCUUGUUUCACGAUCUUCAUAAAUCACUAUGAGUUUUCGUCAUCUAUUUUGAAAUAAGGAUUUUAUUGUUCUUUAAUUGUUGUUUUGAAUUAUUUAUUAUGUUUAAGAAUGCGGAGACGAGUUAUCUUCCACUAGGAACUUUAAACUAGUUUUAUUAUUGUUAUUUUUGAAAUGGAUACAUACCUUAAUUGUUGUUUAAGUGUUGUUUAAUGAAGUUUUCUCACAAACCUUAUUAGAAAGUAAUGCUUUUUUAUGCGAUCCACCGAUGUCUGAAAAAAGUAGUUUGGUAUUAUAGUAUGAGGGAAUAAAAAAAAGGGUUAAUAGGCUUUUACCCCCCUGCCAUUUGGGGGUCUUUUGGUAUACCCCCCUGUCAAAAAAAAACUUGUAGAUUCCCCCUUGCCAUUAGAAGAUUCUUUGGUUUUGAACCCUGAUGAUAUAUGACUGGACACUUGAGCAUAUGUGGCACGCUGAGUCAGCCUUUUUUGCUUAUGUGGAGUUUUGAGUGUAUGAUUAUUUAAUUUUUUUUAUUACAUGUCACUUAUUUUACUUUUUUAUUUAUUAUUUACAAUUAAAAAAGCUUAAAAAUAUAAGAUUUUUUUUUAACUCCCCUCUCUCUCUUCUCCUCCCAUCCAUCGUAUCUCCCUUCUCAUUUUUCUCUUCUCUUCUCUCACCCCCAUCUCUUUUCUUCUCUCUGAUCUUCUCUUCUCUUCUCCUAUAUUCUCUCACCCCCAUCUCUUUUCUUCUCUAUGUUCUUCUCUUCUAUUAUCUCGUCCCCCAUCUCUUUUUCAUUGAAUCCCUAAUUUUCCCUCUUGUUGAAUCUAACCCUAUUUGUGAAAGAGGGAAAAUCGAUGGAUUUGAGGUGAAGAAAGAGGAAUUCUGGAAUUUUGUUCUUACUAAAAAAUAGGGAUUCUGGAAUUUUGUUCUUGCUCAAAAAUAGGGAUUCUGGAAAGUCGAUGGAUUUAAUGUUUUUUAUGAAAUUCUGGUAUUUUGAUGUUGUUGUUGUUGGCUGACUGUUGUGCUGUGCUGUUAUGCGUUGUUGAAGAAAAUUGAGGAGAUCGAUGUGAAAAAAAAUUCUUGGUUUGAAAAUGUUUGUGAGAGUCACUGUUUCUGCUUGUUGUUGUUGUGGGUUGUUAUUGAUGUUGGGUUGAUGUUGUGUUUGUUGCUGGAAAAGAGAAGAGGAGAUGAGAAUUUGGGAAGGAAAAGCGGGAGAAUAAGAGGUUUCUAAGAAGAUGAAUGUUUUUGAUUUGAAGAAGAAUAAUUUUGUAAGAAGAAGGGUGGCAAAGGAGUGAGUAAGAGAAGAAGAAUGAGGGAGUAAGAGAAUGGAACGGUGGAGAGAGAGGAGAGAAAAGAAGAUGAUUAUUAUUUUUUUUUUUUUUAUGUUUUUAGUUAUUUAAAUUAAGUGUUUUUUCAUUAAAAGAAAUUUAAAUGGAAUAAACAAAAUUGAAAAAGAAUUUUGUUAAAAAAAAAUUGGGAUUUUUUAAUUAACAUUAGGGGUAUUUUAGGUAUUUCACAUCUUUAGUAUCAUUUAUAAAAAAAAAUUAUUAUGUGUAUGCCACGUGGAAUUUUAAAAAAAAAAAUCAAAACUAAAAAAAUAACACAUCAGCGUGCCACAUCAUCACAUUAAUCUAGUCAGAUGGUUUGGGGGUGUAAACCAAAGAAUCUUCUAAUGGCAAGGGGGAAUCUACAAGUUUUUUUUUGACAGGGGGGUAUACCAAAAAGCCCCCAAAUGGCAGGGGGGUAAAAGCCUAUUAACCCUAAAAAAAAACACAUACAUUCAUAGCUGUAAUAUUUAAGUAACUCACCACAUGAGUCAUGAUUACUACAUACCGUAUCUAAACUCAUCAGUGGAAUUGUAUACCUUGUCUUUUGUUGUUCCAAGAAUUUCUAUGAUAUCAUUAAUUAUUUUGUUGUCCAUGACAUUUUUGCUGCUACUUCCCUGCAGAUUGAGAAUCUUCCUCUCAAUGGGGGUAUACAACAUAAAACUGUUUCCAAAACUCAAAUGUAAAAUAUCCAAAAAAAAAUAUUUUUAUGAGUAUUUUAAGCAACUUAUUGUAAAAUGGUUGGUAUAAUCGUUAUCUACAAUUAUUAGUGGAUAUUGAUCAAAGAGCUCCCCCACCAGCCUCUUCUGCAUCCUCAAGGAUAUCAAUCCAGCCUCUUCUUCAUUGGUUUAUAAUUUUAUUUGUGUAGGAGAAUUUCAACAAUUCUUUUUCUUUUUUUAUGCAAUACUAAUACUAAAUUCAUGUCUUAUAUACACCACAAAAAAUUAAACAAAAAUAUGUUUUAUAAUGUUUGGUAGUAUAUAGUAGACUUCAAGUUUCAUCUUCAUUUAUUCAUCAUCAUUGAUGUCGGCAGCAACCUGCUGCUGAACAUAGUCUGCUACACGUAUAAGAGGGUAAUGAACACAUAUUGAUGAACCAAUAAAGCACUUCAAUGGCUCCAACACAACAUCUGGAGCUAUUUGGACAUAAAGCGUUGAGGAGAGACCCCAUAAACUACGAUCCUAGUUUUUUGCUACAUUGAGAGCAUUGAUUGCUCUGUCAUCAACAAUCACCUCAUGCAUUCCUGUUAACCACUAUAUAUGUUUUCCAGCUUGAAGAAGGAGGUACCACCUUCAACCUUCCCUCUGUUUUUUAACCAGACAUUCAGACCAGGAAAUUUACUUCUAGCCUGAAUGGUUAAAAAUUGAAGUCAUAAUUGUAUGCGGCCAAAAUUAUUCCCCGACGACCAAACGUGUCGAGGUCACAUCCACUUGGGGCUGAUAUAUAUAGGGGGCCUCAUGCAUAAGUGAUGUGAAUACAUCUCCGCCACCACUUCCACUGUUUUUAACAGUCUUCCACUGUUUUCAACAAUAUGUCACUAAACGAAUAAGAAUUUGAACUCAUUUUGGAAACCCAUCAAGAGCAUGUUGAGGAUUUGCAUGAACAUCCGUGGUUGCACCGAUUCUCCAUGCAUAAUACAAAUUCAACACAUCUUCUUCAGCUACUAUUGGACAAAACUCUUUAGGGAUUUCUUCCAACUCAUCUUCAGUCAAAACUUUAGGCACAUGAAAUAUGUUUUGUUCUGCAACUUGGUGUGCAUCUUCAACACGAAGUUAAGAGAAGAGUUUUUCCAACGUGGAAAGAAAGGUGCGGUUCAUUUUUUUCAUUGAAUCUUGGGUUCAUAACUAGAAUUGUACCGUCUUCUCUUAGGCAACAUGUCAUCUUUCCACACAAAGCAACCAUGUCAGGGUCAUGGUUCCAACUGCAGAAGUUUAAAAAAUUUCAGUAAAAUAUCUUUUUUUGUUAAUUUGAUAAGAAAACAAUAAACAAAUCAUUAUUAACCUUUCUUUAAUGUUGAUUCUUCAAUCUAUUUCAAACCUUUUUGUAGUGUUUGGGAUCACAAUCUUAGUGGCGGACUGAUUAUACCUGGAUCAUAUAGUCUUCGGAGCAUGCAUAUUUGUUCCAUAAAGUUUCUCAUGAAUGAGUUAUGUUUGUAGUCCAUGUGCAUUUUGAAAGAAAAUAUAAUCAUAAAAGAAGAAAAAAACAACGAAACACAACCAUAAUGUGUAUAAAUAUGAUUGUACUUUGAUAUAUAAACAAGUUGCGAGACUUUAGUAUAAAUAUAUAAACAAGUUGCAACAAAUAAGGUUUGAAAUGGAUAUGAACCUUAUUUGUUGUUUAACGAAUUUUUCUGACAAACCUUAUUAAUGUUCUAUCUUCGGGUAUGAAGAUCACUUACAAACCUUUUCCAUUCUUGAAUUUCUUCAAUAGACUAAAAAAAUAUUUUUCAUCUUGGCUUAAUUAACCUGCCGGUUCCUUAACUUAUUUCUUUUAUUCAAUUUGGUCCCAUAAGUCUCAACUUUCUCAAACACGUCCCUUAACUUAUUUCUUUGAUUCAAUUUGGUCCAAUUUUGAUAAUUUUAAUCUCCUAAAAAAAGAGACCGUUGGAUUACGGAGGUCUAUCAGAUUUUAUAAUGUAUCACCGAUACCUAAUUUAUUUACUUUCUUCUUCUUCUUCCCUCAUCUUCAUCUACAUUCAUCCUUCAUCGAUGUUCAUCAAUAAAACCUAGCAAAUUUUUUUUUUUUAACCUACUAUUUAAUCACUACAUCACCAUCAUUGUCAUCUUCAUCUAUCAUCAUCAACACCCUCCUUCAUCGACAUCAACUCAAACCCAAAAUCAAUCUCUCCACCUUAACCAUCCCAAAAUCAAAAGAAGAAAAAUCCAUUCUUUUCAAAACAAUAAAAAAAGUGUCACAGGUUCAAAAUUUCAACAUACAAAAUUUAGCCUUCAUUCAACAAAAUCAACAAUUAAACUUCGUCCCCAAUUCUUUCUCCUUUAAUUUCAAUUGCAAAACUCCUGGUAAGUAUCCAAUUGCUUUUUUCAAAUUUGGGUCUCAACAACAACAAAAUUUCAAUUGCUUCAUCAAUUGCUUCUCUACAGAAAUAGCAUCACCCUCUUUCUUGGUUUCACUUUUAGACCUAUCUGCAUCAUUGGAUUCAGCAGCAGCCGAUUCAAUAAAAAUUGCAUUUUUCCUCAGAUUCAUAACAAAGGGUAUCGAGAUUCGAAGACCUUCAACGAGUUUGUGGGUAGACCAACGUGCACUCUUGAAACUGACACACAACAACACAGUUUGAAAAAAUUAAGAUAAAAGAAACAACAAUAAUAAUAAAAACAUGAGAAUGUAUUUUGGAGAAAUUAAGGAAUAAGAAGUGAUGGGUACUUACCAGGGGUUGUGGAGGGAAUUGGGAAAAUGGAGGAAGAAGAAAGAGGGGUGAACGUGAUUUAUUUUUCCAAUUGAAGAUUUUGUUCAGACAAAUAGGAAUUGUUUUAUGUACAAGAAGGCACAACAUGUGUGUGUCCGAUUACUUCAAUUGUUCACUGGAAAUGAUACUCAUAAUCACCUUGAGUUUUAUUGUCACGGUUAAAUAUUAGGGAUUUUGUUUUCGAAUCUGGGUUAUAUGAAGAUUGCAGUUCAUGAUGUUGAUUCAUAAUUGUUUUCGAAUUUGGGUUAUGUGUUGUUGUUGGUUGAAGAUUUAUGUGUGUGAUGAUAUUAGGUGUUGUUGUUUAUGAUAGUGAUGGAGUGAUGAGAGGAUGAUUUUGGGGUUCGAUCAAGGAGUUUGAUGUUGAAUUUAAGUUGGGUUUUUUUUAUUUUAUUUUAUGAAGAUAAUGAAGGAUGAAUGAAGAUGAAGAUGAUGGAAGAUGAAGAAGAAAGUAAAUAAAUUAGAUGUUGAUCAUACACUCCGUAAUCCAACGGUCUUUUUUUUUAGAGGAUUAAAAUGAUCAAAAUUGGACCAAAUUUAAUAAAAAAAUAAGUUAAGGGACUUGUUUGAGAGAGUUAAGACUUAUGAGACCAAAUUGAAUAAAAGAAAUAAAUUAAGGAACCGGCGGAUCAAUUAAGCCUUUCAUCUUUGAUUGAAAAGCUUGCAGAGAAUGAUAAGUCAGCAGAGAGAGAGUGAGUGAUAAUCCAAAAGAGAGGCGUUAUAAAUUAUUGUAAAAAGAAUAGACAUUUGAGCAAUGACAAACAUGAUGAAUGAAAUAAAUAAACAAGUAAUCAUUUUAUAUGUGAUCCAUCGAUGUCCUGAAAGAAAUAGUUUGGGAUUAUAGUAUGGGGGAAUAAAACAAAUACAUACAUGGAACUGUAAUAUUUAAGUAAUUCACCACAUGAGCCAUGAUUACUACAUGACUGUAUCUCAACUAAUUAGUCGAAUUGUACACCUUGUCUUUUGUUAUUCCAAGAAUUUUUAUGAUAUCAUUAAUUAUUUUGUUGUCCAUGAUAUUUUUGCUGCUACUUUCCCACGGAUUGAGAAUCUUCCUCUCAAUGGGUACACACUCUAAAACUGUUUGCCAAUUAGUGAUAGGUCACUCUUCUGCAUAAAUAAAUAAAUAAAAAUGAUAUUUUAUUUUUAAUUCCAAAACUCAAAUGUAAAAUAUCUACACAAAAAUAUUUUUAUCAGUAUUUUAAACAACUUACAACAAAAUGGUUAUCAUAAUCGCUAUCAACAAUUAUUAGUGUGCAUUUAUCAGAGAGCUCCCCACGAGCCUCUUCUGCAUCCUCAAGGAUAUCAUUCCAGACAAUAUUUUUCUUCUCUUUCACUAGCACAAUAUUUGAAUCCUUCAUUGGUUUAUGAUUUGUUUUGUGUAGGAGAAUUUCAUCAAUUCUCUUUUCAACCGCAAAAGUUUAAAACUUUUCAAUAGAGUAUCAUUUCAUGUUAAUGUUAUAAGAAAACAAUAAACAAAUCAUUAUUAACCUUUCUUUAAUGUUGAUUCUUCAAUCUAUUUCAAAGCUUUCUGUUGGGUUUGGAGUCCAUGUGCAUUUUGAAAGAAAAUAUAAUAAUAAAAGGAAAAAAAAACGAAACACAACCGUAAUGUAAAUAAAUAUGAUUGUACUUUGAUAUAUAAACAAGUGCAAGUGAUAAAUCUUACAUGUUUUUUUAGAGUGAUUUUAUAGAUGCGGAGACGAGUUAUCUUCCCCUAGAAAUUUUAUUGCAAGUGCAAGUGAUAUUGAAUUACACAAUUGAGAGUUUAAAAACUGUUCUGAUUGUUAUGUGAAAAUAUUCUAAUCUUAUUGGUUUUUAUAGAGACUAAAACAAUGUUUAUAAAGUAAUACAAUCUUUGAAAAAGGGUUUCCAAUGAAUAGAAGCAGGUUUGAAAUGGUGUCUUUUCAUAAAAAUGAAUUUCUACACGUUGCAACAGGUUUCUAUAUGAGGUGCAAACGGUUGCACCUUGCAACGUACAUAUUUUUUAAAUUUUACAUGUCUGCAACCAUUUUCACUAGAUGCUACAACCGGUUGCACUACUUCAAAACAUGUUUUUUAUUUUAUUUUAAACAAGGCACUUGCAACCGAUUUCACCUUAGUGUGCAACCGGUUGCUAUAGUUCAAAAAUGGGUUUUCAAUAUAUUUUCAUGCAUUGCUUCAUACAAACCUUAAAUCAUAACUUAGUAAAAUGUUUGUAAUUAUCUUCUGAGUAUUCUAAUUUAUUCCAUAAGUUAAGAAUGAUACAUAAAAAGAUAAUUGCCAUACUUACAAAGUGUAUAACCAUUUUAUGGCAACAGUGUCAUGAGCUUGGACAUUUAGCAGGUAUUCUUCAUGGAUGAGACUUUUCAAUGACUAUCUUAGUUUUGAUCAUACAUGCAAGUAAUAUAUGGUCUAUAAGUGUGUGUAAAGUGGUGUUACCAAUAAUACUUGUAAACAUUAUUAUCUUAAAAUCAUGUAUAGCAUUUCUCUUUUUUUUCCAUGCCCUUCUCCUCCUCACCAAAAGCCAUUUUUAUGGCCUUUUCGUCUGAACAUCCUCCCAAUAAAAUAACUUCUUGUGCUUUUUAAAGUUGUCCAAGUAUUCUUUCACAUCAUUGUCAGAAAUUGAAGCCAGACCCUACACAUAGUAUAAGUCAAAAAAAUAUACAGUUGACAGACAUUUAACGAAGUUUUCUGACAAACCUUAUAACGUUCUAUCAUUGAGUUAUGGAGAUCACACACAAACCUUUUCCAUUCUUGAUUUUCUUCAAUAAACUAAAACAAAAUGUUUUUCAUCUCUGAUUGAGAAGCCUGAACAGGAGAAGCCUGCAGAGAAUGAUAAGUCAGCAGAGAGAGAGCUAACCCAAAAGAGACAUAGGUACCGUUUGGCCCGGCUUUCUUUUAGCUUUUCUACAUUUUUAAGGAGAAGCUAGGCCAAACACAAUAUCAAUAAAGUACCUUCGAAAAAAAGUACUUUUUUUAGAAUGCAUCAAAUUGAAUGGAAUUAGCUUUAACCAAAAGUUAUUAUAUUGAAUGCUACUUCAAAAACCUAUUUCUCCGCAGUUUAUUUCACAAGCACCUCCAUUCCACUCACGAUGUCAACCUUUUCUUUUAUUUUUUAAUAUUAUAUUUUAAUUUGCUUUUUUCUUCCAUUUUAUUUUAUUUUAUUUUUUUGAACCGGUCGAUAUUUUUUUUUUGAAGGAAGGUCCGUUUAAUUUUAUUAUCUAUUUUGGAAGAAAUUUUAUUAUCUUUUUAUCCCUUAUAUAUUUAAUUUAAAUAUCUUUGACUUAUCACAACCUCGUAAAUAUUUUUAUUCAUGAUGUCAUUGAAUGACACCAAAUAUUUUUAUUCGCUUUCUUCAACCUCACAAAUAUACUCACACAUUAGCGUUUAGAGUAAUAUUUUAUGUUUGUUUUUUUGUUAUGCUAAUGCGUAUAAUUUUUUCAGUGUUGCGUAAUGCGUAUACUUAUUUUUAUAAAAUUUUGAUUGUAAUUAAAAGUACAAGUAUAGAUGCCUAAAAAAAUUAUACUUAAUAUAUAUUUUACACAUUUAUAUUGUAACAAACUACGCAUAUCUUUUUCUUAUUAAAAAAACUAAACAUAUCUUUUUCAAUGACACCAACAAUGUAACAAAUAUAAUAUCAUAUAAUAUAAAUUCUUAUCUUUUUAAAUAACACCAAAAAUAUGGUAUUCUUAUAACAAAAUUUAUUAUAUAGUAUAAUUGAAAAAGAAAAAACAAAUUAUUCUCUUUAUACAUACACACCAUAUAUCUUUUAUAUUUUAAACAUUUUUUUCCUUAAAAAAAAUAUUUUAAACAUUUAUUUAUUUAUUAUGUUAAUUCGUAAUGAAUUCAAAGUUUUUUUAAUUUAUAGAUAAUGCAUAAAUAUAUGCAAGGUCCCGGGUUCGAAUCCCAGACACCACCAAAAAAAUAAUAAAAUCAAAGUUUUGUACAAUAUUUUGCCAAACAGCUUUUAGCUUAAAAAUAACUUUAGAACUGAAAAAAAAUAAAGAAACCAAACAGCUUUAGCCUUUUUCUUAAAGGGCUUUAUUUUAACUUUGUUUUAAAGUAGCUUUUACACCGAAAAAAGUCUGGCCAAACGGUACCAUAAUAAGUUCUUGUAAAAAGAAUUGACAUUUGAGUAAUGCAUAGGGGAAUCGAUGGAGAAGAAGAUGAAAAGGGGGAAAAUGAAACCCUAAUCUAAUUUUCCCUCCUUUUCUUCUUUUAUAACUCAAACAUAUUGUUUUUUAAUUAUUUUAAAUUUCAAAAAUAUAUAAAAAUGAAUUACUAAAUUCAAAAACUGUUUUUUUAUAGGUGGCAAAAGUUGAAAAGUCAGAAACUACCACGUGACCAAAAUGAUGCAACCUCUGUUGUUUAAUAGGGUAGAGACUUUUUUAAAAGACAUAAAAUUUUGCAAGAAUUUUAUUAUUAUUUUUUUCAAAGACCAAAAGUCAAACAGACCCUAUCUGCAGGAACUAUUUUUUUUUCUUUUUCAAAAGCCUAAAAAAAUAAAAUUACCCAUCAAUAACAAAAUCAAGGAAAACUCAACUUUAACCGUAGAAACAAACAUAAAAGAAAUAAAAACCAAACACCAGAGAUAAGAACCUCAUCAUCCAUCAUCAAUGUGCCUCGGGCAUAGUUACCGUGUUGAAGCUACAAGAAAACCAUCACUGAUAACUAACUACCUAACAGCAAAAUCAUAGUAUUUUGAUAAUGUUUUGGUGUAAAUAGGGUAUCCUCCGCACGCGCAACUAUAUAGAUUAAUCCAUUGAGCUUUGUGGGACCGGCAACCUCUCCCUAAGAAUUAUAACAUUGGUGCAUGCCUAUUCGAACCCAAGACAUUACUUAAGAUAGAAGAGACUCGUAUCACAUUAUUUACAAAAAAAAAAAAAAAAAAAAGUCUCACAUUUGAAACAAUCUCUGCACCGUUGAUUUGGCAGUGAAUCACAAUCGCAAUCACAAUUUUCAAUAUUGCGAACGAGGUACAUUUUCUUCAUCUCUUCUUCUUCUUCUUCUUCAUUUUCUUCAUACCUACAAUGGUUAUUCUUAGAUUCAGAUUUCAUUCUAUAAUACCAAACUCAACGCUAUUACUCUCUCACACUCAUUUUCAUUCUCUGCCAAAUCUCAAUGACGCCAUUGAUUCCUUCAACCGCAUGCUUCGAAUGCGUCCUCCUCCACCAAUCAUCAAAUUCGGCAAGAUCUUAGGUUCUCUCGUCAAAACAAAACACUAUCCAAUCGUCAUUCAUCUUUUUCAACGUAUGGAAUUACACGGAAUUCAAUCCAACUAUAUCACUUUAAACAUACUCAUCAAUUCCUAUUGCCACCUCCGUCAAAUCAACUCUGCCUUUUCAGUAUUCGCCAAGAUUCUCAAAUUGGGUUAUCAACCUGAUAUAAUUACCUACACUACCCUUAUAAGAGGACUAUGUCUUAACGGCCAAGUUAAAGAAUCGUUAAAUUUUCAUGAUAGAUUAGUUUCUCAGGGAAUUAAGUUGGAUCAUGUUAGCUACGGGACGUUGAUAAAUGGGUUGUGUAAAAUAGGACAAACAGGACCGGCCCUACGGUUGCUUAGAAAGAUUGAAGGAGAGAUUUGUAGGCCGGAUGUUGUAAUGUAUAAUACUAUUAUUGAUGGUUUAUGUAAAGAUAAACUUGUGAGGGAUGCGUUUGAUUUAUAUUGUGAAAUGUUUGAGAAGAGGGUUUUUCCUAAUGUUGUUACUUACACGAGUUUGAUAUAUGGGUUUUGCAUUGUGGGUCAAUUGGAUAAAGCGUUUGGAUUGUUAAAUGAAAUGGUGUUGAAAAACGUAAACCCUAAUGUUUGUACGUUUAAUACAUUGGUUGAUGGUUUAUGUAAGGAAGGAAAGAUGAGAGAAGCGAAAAGUUUGGUUGCAGUGAUGAUGAAAGAAGGUGUGGGACCGGAUGUUUUUACUUAUAAUGCUUUGAUGGAUGGAUAUUUUUUAGUUAAGGAAGCGGGGAAGGCCAAGAAUGUAUUUAACAUUAUGGCUCAAAUGGGAGUGACUUGUGAUGUUCAUAGCUAUAGUGUCAUGAUUAGUGGAUUAUCUAAAAUGAAAAUGUUGGAUGAAGCUAUGGAUCUCUUUGAAGGGAUGCGUAACGAAAAUGUGAUUCCUGAUGUAGUAGCUUAUAGUUCUCUUAUUGAUGGUUUGUGCAAAUCAGGUAGAAUCAAUAGUGCUUUGAAGUAUGUUGAUGAGAUGCAUGAUAGAGGUCAACCACCUAAUGUAAUAACUUACACUUCUUUGAUAGAUGCUUUGUGCAAAAGCCAUCAAGUUGAUAAGGCAAUUGCAUUACUAAAGAAAAUUAAAGAUCAAGGUAUUCAGGCAAAUAUGUAUACAUACAAUAUACUUGUUGAUGGACUUUGCAAAGAUGGUAGACUUACAGAUGCUCAGAAGGUUUUUCAGGAUCUUUUGAUGAAAGGCCAUAAUGUAGAUGUUGUAACAUAUAGUAUUAUGAUCAAUGGGCUUUGUAAAGAGAGCUUGUUUGAUGAAGCAUUGACCUUGCUGUCAAAAAUGGAAGACAAAGGCUGUGUUCCUGAUGCUAUAGCUUAUGAAACAAUUAUUAAUGCUUUCUUUGAAAAAGACAUGAAUGACAAGGCUGAGAAACUUCUUCGUGAAAUGAUUGCUCGACGUCUACUAUAAUUGUCAAAGUAAGUGAGAUGUUUUAUAGUUUAUUGCGUUAUGUUAACCUAUUUUAUAUGGAGCAAAUGUAUGUGAAGGUGGGCUACUAUGAUUUUAUGAAAAAUAAUAUCCAGAGGGGUUCCUAUGAUUAAUUUUUUUUGUAAAACAUCUUUGAAGUUAUUGUCCUGGUGUUAGUUGAUUAUGAGUUACCUUCGGUAAGAGUGUUGUAUUUUUUGUGGUAUUUAACAGUUUAUUUUAUAUCUUUCUAGGAUUGUGUCGACUACAAGGAUAAUGGAGAUACCUGUGAUCAGUAUGAUGAGUUUAUCUGCAAAAGAUCAAUUUUGGCAAGCUGGAAUUCCUCAUAUGGUGCGUUUUUCUUUUGGACAUCCUCCAUAAGUUUGUAUAAGAUUGACCCUCCAUAAAUUUUUUAUAUAAUAGGAUUUUAACUCUAGAAGGGGUUUCAAUCGUUUCAUUCCAUGAGAAUCAAGAUAGGAGGAAAUAUGAAACUGCACCUAGACUUAAAAAGCACUUGUUUGUAUAUGAUUGAUUAUUUUCCAAUCUCAAAUAACUAGUUAUUUAUGCCAGAUUCAACAUAAUUGGCAUAUGAUAACAUGUGAUCUAAAAGUGAUGCAAUGUAUCUUGAUAGUUUUGCCUUUGGAGGCUAAAUAAUGCAACACAUUGCAUGUCCUAAAAGAAUGAGUUUGAUAGUUGCCAUUAUGUUGAAUGAUCUCUUUUACGAUUUGUGAAUGACUAAGAUGCUGAGUUAAAAGAAGAAUUCCACCCUCGAAGUAUAUACCUUAGGGAAUGACUAGAUGCUGAGUUAAAAGAAGUUUAACUUAAGUUUGAACACAUUAUGCAUGUUACAACACUUAUGAUUAAUGAUAAUGAAAACGUUUUAAAUCAUGUUUUACUUGUAGUUGUGAGUUUACUUAUUUUAUCUUCUAAUUGUAAUUUGGAUAACUUAUUCUGCUACCUGCCUUGCUGUUCUUUAGGAUAAAUCUGCCAGAACAUCAGUAGCUCAUGAAUAUAGAUACUUUGGUAAUAGAUUAGUCAUAGACAAUCCUCAAUCCUAGCAGCAUUCGUAGUUGAUGAAGAAAGAGGAGAGCAUUAGAUGUUAAGAGGUUUCUGAGAUAGGAGGACUGAGUUCUUCAUGCAGAGCCUAGAAGGGGGGAAAUAGCAAAAUUGAUAAUUAGUUUCAAUUUAUUUAAAAUUUUGAUUUUAUGUUUUUUUUGGAAGAAUUUUGACCUAUAUAUCUUUCUUUUUCAUUCUAUGUUUUUUUUUGGAAGAAAAGAGCUCCUAUUCCUAUUCUAAUGUUAUUUUGACCUUUGUAUUGUACAUUAUUGACUUCGCCUAGCGUAUUGAUACCAUUUUGCUAGUUACUGUUCCUGAAGCUCAACCACCUACAUUGCUUCAUCUUAAGAGUUCCAAAGGCAUCAUAUAGAAGCAUCUAAUAAAGUAGAAAAAAAACAGUUACUCCCUCCCUUUUACAGGUUUGUAAUUUCUUAAUGUAAUUAUUGCUGUAGUUCUGAAAUGUAAAUGCGGCAAAAAUUAUAGUUUUUUAAGUAUCAAAGACUAUGUACACUUGAUCCAUUACACUUGAAUUUCUUGAUGUGUUUAGCACUGGAAUAAAUUCAUACCAAUCCUUAUUAUAUAAUAUGUUUAGGAAAAAGGGUGGAAGCCACUAUUUUAAUACCUCUUAUUGUUGAUUCAUUUACAUCCUGGGUGGUUCGUGUUGUCUCAUCUCACUGAUGGUUCUUUUGUUUCUAUUUCAAUGCCGAGUCUGUAAGGAGCUUGAUAAUGUAUUAAAGUAGAGGUGUGGAUAAUAGUCAGCAAUGGUUUUGACAAUUUCUAUUGUUUGAGUUUGUCCAAAUUUGAUGUGUGUACUAGUUGUUGGUGGGUGGGAAUUUGAUGACUGGGAGAGUCCUGUAAGGGAGUAUACUUAGUCUUGCAAGUAAUCAAUAUGAACACUAUGGAUUACAGUGGCAUAUUACAUCUGCCUAAUAAUCGUUUUUAGGAUGCCUUGCCUAUUUUGGUUAACAAUGUUAAGUUGCAGUUUAUCUUAGAACGAUCAUCACAUCAUAUUCGUUAUUUGAUAGAAUUCCAACUAGAGUGAAUCUUUGGAAGCGAAAGGCUAUACCUCCGGAUGCUUCAAGAGGGUGCGUGUUUUGUGGGAAUGUGGAGGAGUCUACAAUCCAUCUUUUCCUCCAUUGUCAAGUGAUAUCUCAAGUGUGGGGAAAGAUUUGGAGUUGGUUGGGAGUUGAGUUUUUAGUCCCCCCUAAUUCUUUCAUCCAAUUAGAAUGUUUAUUAGCCGGAGCUCGUUAUAAAUUGUCAAAAAAAGGAUUUUGGCUAAUUUGGCAUACUUCAAUUUGGGUAAUUUGGAAUACGCUUAAUAGGAAGAUUUUUAAGAAUAAGGAUUUUGAGGUGAAUUUGAUCGUUGAGGAAGUUGAAGUCUUAUCUUGGAAGUGGGGCUUGAAUGGGCUAGAUUGUUCUCCUUGUAUGUUCUAUGAAUGGAGUUGGUUUCUGGGUGAUUGUUUUGGUAGAUAACCUUCGUUUUCUGGUUUGGAUUUCCAGGUUGCAGUGGGCUAGUGGUUUGGGCGUGUGUGGUGGUUGUUAUAGGGGCUGUUCUGCAAGUUUUUGGGUUUUGGUAGGUGUUUGGCUGGUCCCCUUGGUGUGGUUUCAUUCACUGUAAGGGGCUGAUUUUUCCUCCUUUAUAAGCAGUGUUGUAUUCCUGUUCUUGUGCCUCCCUGUUUCGUCUUGUGACAGUGCAUUUGUGCCAAAUAAAUUUUGCUGUUCGAAAAAAAAAACAUAUUCGUUAUUUUGCUUUUUUGUUUCUUCGUUUUUCAUAUCAGUUAAUGAUUAUACUGUAAUGAUAUUCUAUGUUUUUAUGCUUCGACCAAUAAAAAUUGGCAGGACCUGGGAAGAUGAAGCAUCCACCAUAUGCAUCACCAUGAGUCAAAAUUGUAUAUGCUUCAAUGAGGAAGUAAGUCUAUAUCUCUAUUUCUUUUUAGUAUUCUCGGUACUAAACUUGAUUAGCUAAUGCCUAUGCUAUAGAUUCUCAUUGGUAUUGUUCUCCUUGACAUACGUAUGCUCUCUGUUUGUAAAAGUAUAUAUGUAUCAUCUAAGGACCUCAUUAGAAAUUUUUAUAGUAGGAAUCUAGAUCAAAACACACAAUUUGAAUCAUAAUUGCCAUCAAAAGUUAUGUAUUCUCUUCGGCAUAGAAACUUUGUGCAGUGGGUGUAUUUAGGGAUGCUUUUUAGAAUUCUGUCAUGAAUCAUGAUAUUAAAUAUGAUUAAGUUUCUUUGUUAGUCUUCUUUGUAUCUGAAGCAUAUGAUUGAAAUUGAUUAGUUUGUGUCGUAUUUUUUUAUGCAGUAUCUGUUGGUUUACUUGGUAAAUACGUCAUGAAAAAUAUACUUGGAACUGAUUUAUUUGAAAGAGAAGAAAAAAGGAGCCAGGGGAGCGGGCAAAGAUUUGAUGUAUUAUAUGUCAUUUCCAAAGAAAAAAGGAUUGACAAGCUGCAUUAUUUUUUGUCACAAAACAGUCCACACCAUAAAAUUUACACAAGUUAAAGAGUUGAGUGGAUGCUACUUUGUGGACAGUAAUUCAGCUGAAGCUAGUUUGCAAGAAGAUGAUUCAGAUCUUGAAAGCAAAACUCUUGGAAUAUAGCUCUAAUUUGGUUAAAACUUGAUAUUAGGGGUGGCAAUUAGAUCCAUGAAAUCCAUAUCCAUCCGAUCCAUCCACUAUAAAAUCCAUCCAAUCCAUCCAUAAAACAUUUUUUAUUUUUAAUGGAUUGUAUCCAAUCCAUCCAUUAAACAAUAUGGAUGGAUCUAGUCCAUCCAAUUGAUUUUAAAGAUCCAAUGGAUCACUUUUUAUUGUUUAUUUUUUAUCCAAUGGAUCAUUUGAAUAAACAAAUAACAAAUUAAAACAAAAAAAACAAACAAUUAAAAAAAUUAAAAGCUAGAUAGUGAAUAGCUUAUUUCUUCCCCAAAUAAAACUCAACCCUAAUUUCUUCCCCAAAUUAAAAACUGAACCCUAAUUUCUUCUCCAAAUUUCUCUUGAAAUCUGAAAUUCGUUGUGAACCUAUGUAGCAAUUGUCAGCGAUUCGAUUCUUCCUCUUCAAAUCUGAAAUCGAUUCUUCUGUUCUUACUUCCUAUUGAUUCAAAUUCCGACGACGAUUCGAUUCUUCCUCUUCAAAUCUGAAAUCGAUUCUUCUAUGCCUUUGUGAGUCUCUAUUAUAUUGUAAUGUGAUUUUGUUGCGUUUUCUGAAUUGGGUUAUCUGAGAUUGUUGUUGUUUGUGUUUUCUUAGUUGAUUUUGUAGUGUUUUCAUAGUUGUUUGUUUGACAACGUUUGAAGAUUUCCUGAUGAUUGUUGUCAAGUUGAUAUCAUGUUUCUUAAGGAGCGGGACUCAUACCUAUUUAACAUUCACCAGACCUCUUCCUUCACGAUAGACGGACUUGUACAAUCUGUUGCAGAGGUGUUUCCGUCUAUAAUUUGACUCAAAAGUGAUUGUUAAUAUGGUGAAACUGAGAUGCUCUUCAAUCAUGUCUUGCAACUGCUGCUUCCAGGACAUUGUUGGAGGAGGCUUGCCCUUCCCUUGCUUUACUUAUAUUUAAGGAUGCUGCUAUGUGGUGUUGUUUUGCUGUGUCUUUUCUUGUAAUUUUCUUUUUCUCAUAAAUAAUAUAGAUGGAGUUGUUCAUCAUAACAUAAGUGAAAUACUUGGCUUAUCUUGCUCCAUGUAAUGUUACAAAUUGUGAGAUAUUUGUAACUUUUGUUAUACUCCAAUAAAUGAGAUUCCAAGGUAUAUAUUUGAAUCCGAUUUUUGUUGUAUUCUGUCAUUUUUUUGUAACCAAGCCAGUUUGUUUUGAUAUCUAAACAAUGUUACAGAAGAUGCGUCUUUGCAUGAAUUCCUUAACUGUAGGAACUACAUAUCUAUGAUCACAAAAUCUCACAUUCCUUGAGCUAACACUAAUAUUAAACUUAUGAUUCCCAAUAUGCAAAGAGAAAUACAAGAUCCUUAACGUUGCAUCUCAAAAAUCUACAUGCAACAUAAACUCCUCUUAGACAGUAAGUGAGCAUCUGCUUCAGUUGAUAUGAAAAAUUGAAAUGUCUGAAAUUUCAUCCCAUUGCUUCGUAUGACACUUCCUAUAAGGAUAAACCAUACAAAAAGGAUGGUUAUUUACAAGCAGGCAAUUAGAAGUUGUGAAUUUGUUCCUCAUAUUUUUUAUUUUAUUAAUUCAAGUGGCACUAAUAGCCAUUUUAUAUACGUUCCCGAGCAGAUUCACACAACAUAUAAAGUGGUGGAGGAAAUCAAGCAUGUCUCUUUGGUUUUGGGCGUUGAGUAGGUUGAAGAUUGCUUCUUGCCUCUUUUACGAGUGGUGUUGGAACCCAAGGGAGUGCCUUCGGAGAUAGUUUUGAGAGGGUGUUUUGGGGUGCUGCUGUACCUGUUUUUUCUGAUGGCUGCUGUCCACUUUUUUACUGUUUUGCGCCUCAUGUGUGCGGCUGUUUCCGGCCUGUGUGCUGCUGUUUUUUGCGCCUCACAUGUGACAGGAAGUGGUUGAUCAGUUUUAGGAGGUCCUGUGGGUUUAUUAGGUGUUUUUUCUGCUGGGUGGUUUCCUCUUUGUUUCUGCUGUUUUGCGGCUUUGCUUGUGCUAGCACAACUGUGCUGUUAAACUCCGAGUUUGUAAUUCUUGUUGUCCCGUUUUAGCACUUCUUGUGCCGGGAUCGUUAUCAAUAUAUAUGCUGAUUAAAAAAAACACAAUAUAUGAAGUUAACACAUCACUGCAUUGUCUUAUGUGAGCUGCUUGAAGUUGACAAAAUGAAACAACAUAUGAAUUUGUGGUCAUAUGUAAUUUAAAUCGUAACAAGCAUGUCCGGCAGCAAGCUAGUCUUUAAAAGGCCUGGUAAAAAAAAGCUAUACUUUAAAAGCAAACAUAAAUAAAUGUUACAUCAAUCAACAUUUGUUUUUUUGUCAUUAUCAAUUUCAAACAUACAUAAGUGUACUGAGCACAGGACACCAUAAAAUCAACACAUACAAAGGUACACCAACAAGUUUUAUUUAAAAAACAUGAAAUCAGAUAGUUGCACAUUACAUUUCUCCAUACAUACAUAUUUAUAAUUUUAAAACAAGUUCAACUUGAACAGGAGGAUUCCAUGAAGGUGAAAAUCCUCUACUUUCAAGCAUGGUUUUUGCGUGACAUUAUUGAACGAGAAAUGAUGUACAUAACCAGUUAGCAUCUAGAUGACACAAGGAUGGUCCUCAGAAUGAUUGGGAACCCAUGCAGCAGCCUUAUUGCCAAUGAAAUGGCAAAUUGGGAUGGUACCAGGUUCGACUUUUAGAGCUUCAUAAAGCAACUCAGCAUUCAUGCCUCUUGUGUCAUGGUGGCAAACAGUUAAGGCCUUAGCUUUACCUCCAUCGGGGGCUACCAAUGAUACCACAUAAGCAGUUGUUGCUUGCACUUGGUGGCAAUUGAAUACAACUUUUUCGAAAUUCAAUCUAUGACACAUCACUGCAUUGUCUCCAACUUUUUUCACUUCCUCCACCACAUAUUGGUCCUGGUUUACGCCAAAGGUACUUGAAAUCGCCUUAAUCUUUGACGUUCCAAAAUGUGAAAUGACAUGUUCAACCAUCGAUUCCAAGGAUGAUACACAAUGUUUGCGUUCUCCUGUCGCAGUUGGACUGUUACAAAAGUCGUCAAGACUUUGUCUCUCUUUGUUUGCCAGCCAUAUGGAAUCUGUGAUACCUUGUCUUGGUUUUCCGAAUGGUCGUACUGUAUUUCUAAGAGAAUUAUUGUUACCUAAGAUCAUUUUCUUUCCAGGGUAGAGGUCAUGUUCGAAAAAAAGUGUCGAGUAUUGGUUCAAUUCUUCGGUUUUGAUAGGUAGAUUAUUUGUUUUGCCAUCUGCCAAAUCCAAAAAAACAAUUAAUUCCUAAAUCAUGACACAGUCUUAUUAUUAGGAGGCAGCAAAAUAUACAAUUCAUAUUACUCACAAGGUAGCAAUAGGUCAGAGAAAGCCUUAGGCAGAGGAGUGUUUGGCCAAAUAGUUUGCCAAUAAUCUUCUGAAGACAGUGUUGUGGCACUAAUUCCCACAAAAGCCAACUAUAAAACAUGUUAACAUAAUAUAUACUAUUAAUAUUAGGUUUAAAAUGAAAACCAUGCAUAUAUUUUGAUCAAGCUGGCAUAGUAGAAAAUAUGUUAACUUACACAGAAAAGAGCUAAAACUGAGAGAUGUGCAAACUCCAUGGCUGGCUAUGAGGAAGUGAUAACUAUGGAAGCUUUGUUAGGUGUGUAUGAGAGUGUUACAAAACUCCCAUUAUAUAGAGUAAAUACACAAAUAGUUACACUUGCAUGCAAAGCUUGUUCUGCACUUGUCGUCCAUGCAGCACAACUACAUUAUCAUCUCCAAACUUUGAGGUUGUUGCCAGGAGGGUGUCAAAGCUUUACCUUGUUUUGUGCACAUGGCAUCCAUGCAUAGCUACCUACUUUUACAAAGUUUGUAUUGUCUGCAUAAAUGGUACCAUUGUUGUCUCCAACAAGCUGCACAUAUUGUACAAAUGGCGUUCAUGCAAUUAAUCUCCAAAGCUUGUGGUGCCAUUCAUAAUGAUUCUCCUAGAGUAGAGGGAUCAAUAAAGCUUUGUGCACAGCAUUUUUAAACCUUGUUUUGCACUAAAUACAAUUUUGUUUACAAAUAAAUCAUGUGAUUGAGUUUACAUAGUUAAUUAAGAGUUGAGCUUUAGUUAAGGAAGAAAAGAAUCAUUGAAAUAGUAAAACAUGCUAUAGUUAAUUAUUUAGCCUUGAACAUUUUUUGGUUUUGUAAGAUUUGUAUUUUCAAAAUUUCAUUUGAUCCUUCAGUUUUUAACGUCGAAGUGGUAAAUUGUUGUAGUUCUUUUUGGUCCUGGUUUUGUUUCAAUACCUAUAAUAUAAUAUAUAGUUUUUAGCUUGAACCUCUGUAAUAUAAGGGUUAUGUUCAAUUAAUAUUUGUAUGAUUUAACUAUUACAAAAACUGAGUUGGUUACGAAAUGUUGUUUCUAUCUUCGAUCCAAAAAUUUGCAAUGUCCUUACCAACUGAGUUAUGUUCAUAGGGACAACAAAGAGAGAUUUCUAUAAUGUACUAAACAAAACUACAAAAAACAAUUUAAAAUUUUGAAAGAUACACAUGAAUAUAUUUAAUAAAGCAACGACCAAAAGUCGUGACGGAAAAUAUUUUGGGUCUAAAACUUGACGAAUUUUUUUAGAAAAACUCAACGAAAUCUGAAAAUUUUACAAAGACUUUUUUUAGAAAAUAUGGACGGAAAACUUAUUUAAUCUAUUGUUGACAUAUUAAACCACAUAAUGGUCCAUAGCCAUUUGUGGCGUUCCCACGACUUAUCAAUCGUAGUGCAGCCUUCUCUGCCUCCCCCAAAUAAAAGACAUUCUAUCUUAAAUUGUGAAGUCUUUAUCAUUCCCACCUUCAAGACUCCCGAUUCAGUUUCAACGACUCCGAGGAUCAUAUUAUAUCUUGAUCGUUCGACUUAGAUAGAUUAAUCCAAAUCAAUAUAACCUAAAGUUCUAGACAAAAAAACAACAAGAUGGAGUCUAAAUACUUCAAAUUUACAAAAAUGAACAUAAAUUGUUACAAUAUACAUGAUAUUCAUCAAUCCGUGAUAUCCAAUCUAGUACUAUAUCUUGUCAAAAAUAAAAAUCUAGUAAAAGAAAUCUUCCCAACAAUUACUAUUAAUUGAUCUAUCAUUUACAAUACUUCAGGACUAUUUUUCAAUUCAUCAUGACAUUUAUAAACAACACGUUUUCUCCCAACCAUAUACUGCUGCACAAUAAGCACAGAAGAGUGUGUACCAAAGCUAGUUGAAGCUAAUAUGUCACCUAUAACACCAAGUUCAGGAUGGUCACACCACUCCAACAACUUCGAAAAGAUCGUCGUGUUCUUACCACUGCCUUGUCCAACAAUGUACAAAUCAUAUCCAGGUUUAUCAAUCUCAUUAAGAAGUAUUGGAAUCUCUUCGCCGGUAGCCGAAUGCACUUCUUUUUCUGAGUAAACAAUUGAAUCAUUAUUAUUCACUGCCUUGUGCCUGAAGGAAAAUAUAUACUCUUCAUCCAACUCUUUCUGCAUCACACCGUCCAUAACAGUCGACAACAUUCCAUGAGGAGACUUGCUUAUUUUCUUUUUCAAUACCUUUUCUUCUGCAGCCUUACCUAACAAAUGGAUCCUCACAACAUGUAAUUGUGUUCCUGAAUGCCCUGCCAUUCUCCAUGCGAUAGACAAGGCUUCACGGUCAUCAGGUCCUCCAAUGAAGAGGGUUAUAAUGCGCAUUUUUGUUUUUAACAACGAUCCUAGUCCGCGGUCCACAAAGAUCCCUACAGAACAAGGUGCGUGUUGAAGAACAUUUUCGUUUAUCUCACAAUGUUCAUUGCGGCUUAUUUCUGGAGAACCUCCUACCGUUGAGUACUCUUUGUGAAAGGGAAGGAGAAUUAGGCUUGCGCGUUUCUCUUCGGCUACGUUGUAGAUGUCCUCAUGGAUUGUUGUAUAGGAUGAGACAACACUUGAUGUGUCAAACCUAACAGCAUUGUAUUGUUCUACAAAUUCUUUAAAUGCAGUAGUUAUGAUCUCAAACUCUGCUUUUGGGCCAUAGUUGGUUGUUUCUGCGCCUGCUAUGUUGUUUAAAUCAGCCAUCUGGGAAACAAGAAUAGCAGUGCCAUGUCUAGUGAGUUCAAGAAGGUGAACUGCAGAGACAUGUACCGGUGAAAUUCUGGUAGCAUUUGUGGCUUCAAGGACAUGGAUCAUGUUAGUGGCAUGUUUAGCAUUGUGGACACAAGCGACGACUCGAAGCUCCAUAUCAAACCUCAGCUUUUGCACGGUUCUUAAUUGCGAUUGCAUGAAUCGGAAUUUUGGUUUGUAUAUGGCAUUUAUUAAGGGAGAGACUAUCACUGUCAUCAAUAUAAUAGCAAGCGUCAUAACCAUGAAAGAACAUGGAUCCAAAAACUGCAAAGUAAAAAAAAAAAAAUCGAACAUAGUUACAAUUCAAAUGCACAUUUAAUUUAAAUUAUGCAUCACUAGAGAGAUAAGGGCGACCUAGUGCACUAGGCUCCCAUCAUCUUGUGUCUGGAGAGGGUAGAUGUAUAUAAUCUUACCCCUACAAACAAAGAUGUUUUCUCUUUCAGGAUUUGAACUCGUGACUUCUAAACCACAAGACAAAAUAUGAAAAACAAUUGUUGCAAAAUAGAAAGCUGGUAGUUAAAAAAAUUACCCGUUUGUCCCAAGCAACAUUUUGUAGUAUGACGGCCAUGACGCCCUUGGUGUUGAGAAGCAAACCAAUGGAAAGGCCAUCUCGAGCAGGCAUACCGAAGAAGAAAGUGACAAUCAAAGAGCUCAAAACUUUUGGUAUGCAUAACGAAACCAUAAUAAGCAUCAUUAAAACUGAAUUUGGUGUGUUCCAAAGUACUGGCAAGUCGAGUUUAAAACCAAAUCCAGAAAAGUAAACAGGACACAGAAUACCAGUAACAAAGUCAUCUGACAUUUCCAUAACCAUAUCAGCAAACUUUCCAUGAGGCAAAAUCAAUCCGAACACAAAAGCUCCGACAAUAGGAUGCGUACCAAGAAAAUCCGUAAUAUACGAAAAAAUAAACAAUCCUAUAAAUACGUCCAACAUAUGUGACUUGCGCCACAUGUUCUUAUUUGUUCGGUUUUCAAUGAUUGGAGUAAGGAUAGGUCUCACCACAGUAAAACAAAAAGCUAUGAACAAAAAGGUAGUGAUUACUGAGAGAUAAUAACCUUCUCCCCAAUUAUUAGCAGCAGGAAUCAACAAUGUAAACAAAACCCAACCAUAUGCAUCAGUUAACAUAGCUGCUGUUAAUGUAUCCUUUCCAAGCUUUGUAUACAAAAGCUUAAGCUUAGCAAGAAUUCUAGCAAGGACGGGGAAGCCUGUGACAGAAAGUGUUAAACACCAAAAUAGAUAAGCUUUAAUAUGAGUUUUUUCUUUUUUAUCUAGAAGUUUUUGUUCAGAGUAAGAAAUCCAACACCAAAUAACAUUGAUGUCACAAUGCCAGCAAUUGCCAUGCUAGUGCCUUUCUUUCUUGAUCUUAAGAUGGUGUCUGAAUUCAUCUCUAAACCACUUAGGAAAACAUAGUACAUAAUUCCCAAGUUUGAAAUGGUUUCAACAGCUAGGAUUCCACGUGGAUUGUAAAACAAGGUAAUUACCCCCUCGAAAUAUCCCAAGAGACUUCGACUAACAGAAAAACCAGUCUGCAUAAAAGAAAAGUUCAGAAAUUCUUGUAUUUCUUAAUGUUGAAAUUCCUUGUGACUAAUUACUCCUUGUGUCUCAUGUUAUGUGUCUCAUUUGAGAUGGGCACGCUUCUUAAGAAUAUGAUUACUUAAGCCAAUUUUCAAUGGAAACUAUUAUGUUGAGACUAGAAUAUCUUUGCACUUCAUGUAUUAUUUGUCAGCCAUAUACUUGCAAGUACUUUAAUAAAUAAGGGUAACAUUCGAAAAAUAAAAGUAAUAAAUAAAAUGACAAAUAAUUUAAUACAAAUAAAUAUUCUGACAUUACCGAUGACAUGCAGGGGUUGAAACUAGCAAGAAUCCCAUGGGAUUAUUAUACACGCCAAAACUGCAAACAGUUUCGCACGGUUGUAGCUCCUGAAUAAACCCUAGAUGCCAAGAAAUCUCCUCGAGGAGGACAUUUUUUAGAUACAAUGUUUUGGGUACAAAACAUUGACCAAUUAACUUCGCCCAUCAUUAAUCUACGUCAGAGAACCUAGAUGCCAACUUUAGUGUAUAGCAUUUUUUUUCUUCCUAUCUAUAAAAUUCACUACCAAAACCUUAGUCAAUGGAUCUGAUUACAGUUCGCUCACAUCAAUAUAAUGUUUCUAAUUUUCUCUUCGAAAAGGAUUGAGCACCUAAAGAGAUUUUAACAACUUCAGGCGAGAUUCAAACGCUCCCUCUUAAGAAACUAAAGUCUCUAAAUGAGUUUUUUAACUACUCGUGCCAACUCGAAUUGACAACACAUUCUUUAUAUUAAAAAAAAAACAAAUAAAUUUUAUUAAAACUUGUAAAUAUGUAUAUACAGAAAAAGAUAAAUGUCAUGUAUAUUGAUGAUUCAAAUUAUGAAUAUGCUUACCAACAUUUGUGCAACAAUGAGAGGCACAUGAAGAGGCUUGAGGAUGAAGAAGAGAAAACGAGAAACCAAAAGAUUAUAAGCAAUUUGGAGACACAAAAGAGGAACACGUUUUAUCAUAACAUCAUCAGUCAUCCAGAUAUUGUUUGAAGCACUAAGAGUUACAUUAUAACAUGUAGCCAUUUCUAUGUCAAUAUUUUCUUAUGCUAAUUCAUUUUCUUCAUCUUUCAUUUAAAUAAUAAUGAUAAUGAUUCUUUGCCUGAAUGACAUACAAGUUAUUAUGGAUAUUUGAGCUGGCAAAUUCAGUUUACAUUGUUUGUUACCAGUAAUGCUGUAAUUUUCACGUUCUUUGUUGAGAUAUGGUUAUAUAUCUGUUUUAUAUUAAUUUUUUGUAAUAUAUUUAAAAACUAAUGAGUAGUUAUCCUUUAAAUAUUAUGGACUCCUGCGAUAUUAAGACAUUUAACAACUAAUGAGCAGUUAUCUAAAACAAAUUCAAAAUGAUUUCUUUUUUAAGGAAACAAAUUCAAAUUGAUGAAACUAAUUAACUGAUCGAUGACAUUACCUUUUAAAUAUUAUAGACUCCUGCGGUAUUCAAGUGUGUAAUUUUUCUAUUUAAAGAAUUCAAGUAUUUUUGAUUGAUAGGAAAUAUCUAAAUGUUUCUGUCAAAAAAAAAAAAGGAAAUAUCUAAACGUAUGGAUUUAUUAUCAUAUUAUUUUUUUUUUUUUUUUGAGAGGGAUCAAUAUUAUUAUUUUUUUAAAUAAUAAUAAUAAUUAUUAUUAUUACCACCUACUUAACGUAUUUUUUUUUUUUGGUACAACUUAACGUAUAAUUUUACAUAAUGACUCUUAUGACUAAAUUUUUAAGACUCCAAUUACUUUCACAAAUUAACUCAGAUUCAGAAAUCAUGUAUGUUGAGUCAAAAAAAAAAAUCAUGUAUGUUUUUACCUCAAAAAAAAAAAAAAAAGAAAUCAUGUAUGUUCAAUACAUUAUUAAUUCUCAAGCAUAUUUACCAUAAAAAAUCGUUUAAAACUCGUAUCUAGAAUCAAAUUUGGUAUUAAAAAAAAAAAACAGAGAAGACAUGUGCAGUAUACACUAUACAUACAGGAUGGAUCUAUGUUGAUUGUUGAGGUGAGGGUAUGCAUUUCUACACCCCCCAAAAAAUUAUAUUAUCCUAUACUUUUUUCAGUUUUGCACACCUGAAUCUUUAAUUUUACACUUUGACUCAAAUAUUUAUUCUCUAUUACCAAAAAAAAUAAAAAUAUUAUUCUCUUACCUAACCAACACAAUACACAAUGAUUUAUAUUUUUUUGACGGGCUAAAAUGAAUUAUAUUACCAAAAAGUCUUCCCGCACAAGUGCAAGAGAAGACAUUAAAAGGUUACAAAGUUAUACAAAUAACAAAAACAAGAACACACGGCAAGCACAAGGGAACAUUAAUUUACAACCUUAAGGCAACGAAGAGGAUUAAGCCUCCAAUAAGUGUAGUCAAAAUCAACAUAGCAUAUGUCGAUUUUAACCACCAGAAAGCAUUUAGCUUAACUUUUUCACAUAAAGAAUUAAUAUAUUUGUUCUUAUGCUGGAAUAUGUGUCUAUUCCUCUCGUUCCAAAUAACUCACGUAACAUAUAGCCAUAUAAUGUUAAAAGCCAGACGUGCAUGUUUUGAGAAGCCGCCUAAACUUGCAAACUGAAUAAAAUGAUCCAAAAGAUGUAGUUGAGCCACUGUUGAAAAACCUAGCCAGAAAGAAACCUCCUUCCAAAUAUUACCAUAUUUAAGUCACAUGCACCCAAAUAAUGAUCCCUAUCCUCAUUUAAACCACAACCUCCAGACCAAAUUUGAUCAUUAAGAGAUAGCACCCUCCUCCGAAGUAAAUUAUUUUUUGUUGGUAUUCGAUUAAGAAACAAACGCAACGCAACACCAAGCAAACAAAUUUAUUUUUAACGGAACAGCUUUUAACCACUCAAAAUGACUAGUCACAAUUGAACUAUUAUCAACGGAAUGAAGUCCAACGUCAUCGGUCAAACUGUGGUAAGCACUGCUCACCGUAUAGCAAUUCAAAGAAUGAAACUUCCAAACCCGCCGGUCCUCCACACCAACCUACAUGGAAACUGUAGUUAGAAUCUCAACGCACCCUCAACUACACUAUUCAAUUGUUGCCACCAAACCGAACCUCUUCCGCCCACAAAACAUAACCUACCUUGUUCCUCCCCGUAUCUAGCACUAAGCACCCGAUACUAAAAACUCCCCCUCUCAUCCAAAACCCUCCAACACCAUUUGCCAAUUAACGCUAAAUUAAACUCCUUCAACAUCCUAACCCCCAAACCACCUCUAUCUUUUAUCCUACAGAUAACAACUAACAUUCUGCUUAAAAAACAAUUAACAUUCACAUUAUAAUUUAUGAGUAAAAAAGUUACUCCUUACCAACAUGGUGUUAGGAGUGUUGGCCAACAUGAGUCUCUUUAGAAAAAGAACCUAGGUUCAAUUCCUAGAGCCGUUCAUUUGUGAGGUAGCUCAACCCUAAAGAUAAAAAAUAAAAAAAUAAAAAAUUAGACGUCCUAGACUCGAGAAUUAGUCUGAUAGUUGAUCCAAAGAGACAAAGCCGUGGAAAUAUCUUUAUAUAAAAAACAAUAGAUGUCCCUAAUGGGGGGGGAUUGGGGGCCAUGAUCUCACUAUUUUCAUUCUAAUUAAUGAAGUCAUUCCUAAAGUACAUCUCAAGUUAAAAGAAUUGCACUUAACUGUGUCUUUUUGGUACAAACACUUUACUAUAUCAUAUUGAGUUUGAAAUUUAUUAUUUUUGUUUAUAAUCAAGAUUGGAGUGAGUAUGUUUUAUAACGAACACAUGAAAGAUCCAUUGCAAGUUGAAAGUGGUCUUAACAGUAUCAAGACGAACCAACAGCUUGUUGGAUGAACAUAUGUGACUGAAAAUACACAACUAGUUGAAUAACACUUCUGAGACUGCCAUACCAACAAUAUGUUCAAAUAUGAAUUUCCUGCAGUUGGAAAAUCACCUGUUUGCCGCAGUCAAACAUCUCAGACCGUCUGAUGAAGAUAAAUCGAUUCAAAAUAGACAGUUGCAACUUACAAUGUGAACCACUAAUCAAGCAGCCUAAAAUGUAUAUCCGCGGCAAAUGUAUUUCUUGCAAGAUUUUCUAACUAGAAGACAUUGUUGUCAAAUAGCAGCUAUAGAAUUUAAACAAAUCGCUACUAUUCCAUAGUACACUAUAUAGUGCAAAGUCUGGUCAAAUAAAGGCUAUAACAGCUACAACACCUUAAGCAGAUUUUGAACAUUAAGCUGCAAUUCGCAACACUUCCUAAGUGUUCACACCAGUUAGCAAUUAUGAUCUUGGUAAAUCAAAGAUGCAUGUACUAUAUCUCGCUAGAGCAACGACAUACAAGCAUUGUAACUUUGCUAAAUUACUCAGCAGUGCAAAGCAUUCAUCAGUACAAAUAUAAUGUAUGACAGUGCUUGCAGCUAUAGGUCCUUCCUUCUUGAAACAAGACUACUUUUCACCCAAAAAACAACAACCUAUAGCUCUCUUUAAAAAUCAAUUUACAGCUAUAGAAGACAUUUUCAUACAAAUUUAUACGAUGAGAAGAAACUAUACAAUUUAGUCCUUUAAGAUGAUUCUGGCACUGCUUACACCAGUCUUAUUGAUCGAUCCCAUUUUUAGAAAGGCAUCACCACAAUUUAUCACUUCUUGCUAACUAGUUGAAUAACACUCCCUAAAUGUCAAUAAUACCAAUAAUAUGUUCAAAUAUGAAUUCCCAGCAGUUGGAAAAUCACUUAUUUGUUGCAGUCAUACAUCUCAGAUAAUCCAAUCAAGAUUAAACAGCUCACACAUUUCAAUGUGAAAAAUUGAUUCGAUAUACACAGUUGAAUUGUGCGUCGUUGGUCAACAACAAAACAACAACCAAGCUUUAUCCCACUAAUUGGGUUGGCAGCAUGGAUCAAACAUAGUGCUCUAUCAUAUACCAUAUUUCUAUCUAACUCAUUAAUUUCUAGAUCUUUCUUUGUAGUUUAAUUUCUCGCAUAGUUUUUCUAGGUCUUCCUCUCCUCAGUACAAAAUAUACAGGUAUUCUCUUUAUGUGCACAAACCACCUAAGCCAAGUUUCCACAAUCUUUUCUACUAUAGAUGCUACCCCAAAUCUCUCUCUAAUGUUAUCCUAUCGUGUGUAGUUUUAACACAUCCAACGCAACAUUGACCACACAACCCAAAAUGUAUAAUUGUGGCCAAUGCGAGACUUUCCAACUAGAAGACAGUGUUAUCAAAUAGCAACUAUGUCGUAGCAGAAUUCGACAAAGUAGCUAUUAUUCUGUGAUACACUAUUUAGAAUAAAGUGUUGUCAAAUAAUGACUAUAGCUACGCUAUAAAGGUGGAAUUUGAGCAAACCUCUAUUUUCUUCUAUGUAUGACUAACAACACUUUGAAAGGGAAUCCCAGUCUAAACAUGUUUACCUAUUCAAACAACAAUUUGUUUAGACAGAAUAAUUCAAGAACCCGAGCAACACAAGUAAACAGCCUGUAAAUUAAACAACAUAAUACUCCUUUGAGUCACCUCGGGCCAUAACCACCCAUGAUUCAUUCCCCUUCUCCCUUGCGAACCAGUGUUAUUACCACUCCCUUUUGAUAAUUUUCCCUUUAUACAAAGUCUCAAACACGGGUCGCCUUCCUUGCACAAUACAAUUUUCAGCCGACUGCACUUAGUGCGUCUAAACAUAUUUCACCGAUAAUUCAAAGGAAUAGUUAAUAGAUGAAAAAAGAUCAAGCAUGAAUUCCUUUAAAGGUCAAAUCUCAGUAAAAAAAAGGUGGCAUGACAAAUAGAAAUAUUGUGAUGUAGAAUCUAUUAUAAUAUAUAGUUUUUGCAACUGAUAUUUAAAACAAACACUCUGACAUAUGCAAGUGGGUGGAAACCAAUUGCGAGGUAAAAAUGAAACCUGUCCAUCAUGUUCAGCAGAAAUCAAUGGCCAUGUACAACAGUUUUCCUUCAAUAUCAGCAAUGCUUAGUCAACAAAACCUUCACUGAGCUCCCAUAGUCGCAUAGCUAUUCAGCCCUUCGCAGAACUGAGUCUGAAUCUGACGCCUUCUGGAUGCUGCAGAUGUUCAGAAAAUCCAGAGGAUUUAUAACAAAUAUAGAAUUUCAAAAAGAAAAUCAACAACACUAACCAAGACUUUUCCCACUAAAUGGGGUCGGCUACAUGGAUCAAAUUACGCCAUAAUGUUCUAUCAUAAACAUAAUUUCAAAAAGAAAAUCAAGAAAUAUAAAUACUUAAUAACAAAUUCCGGAGGAUUUGGCACUAUUUGGAUAAGCAACUUGAUUAAAUACUGAUAUCAUAAACGUUUUCAUAUAAGUGCUUAUGUAUAAGUUAUUUCUAGAACAAAAGUGAAAAUAAAGUCAAAUUGUUUUCAUAUAAGCAAUAAGUUGUUUUCAUAAGCUAUCCUGGAGAGCUUACGGUAAUAAGUUAAAAACAACUCAUGAACAUGUCAUAAGGUAUUUUCAUAAGCACUACCAAACAAUCUCACAAGUGUUUAAAUAAGAAGAUAAGUUCAAAUAAGUCAAUCCAAACAGGCCCUACAACACACGGUGAAGGCUUCAAAUUUGAUGAAAUAUAUGCAACGGGGGUAUCUUUUGCUUGUAAACAUUACAUUGUGUAAUAAUAUAGCAUCCUCUGAUGCUCUAGUAAAAAUAAAGUAAUCACUUAUGCUAGGGUAUGUUUGAUGCAGACUCAAAGCAAACUAUCCAUUGUUCUCACAAUUAAUUAUUGAAGUUUUACUCAAAAUAAAUAAAAAAUGAUUGAAGUAGGCUUCACUACUGAUAUCCUUUCAUUAAAAGAAUUUCUAUGGAAUGCUGGAACUGUUCAUGACUUUUCAAAAGGAAUCUUCUGGUAGGCUACAUCACUGAACUUAAUCAAAACAUGGCAUGACAACAUGCACAUCAUAAACCUACUAUAAAUGAUACUGUAGAUUCCAAGAGCUAAUCAAGUAUCACUACUCAAAAGAUAUUUUAUAUAGUAUAUACAAAAAUAUAUCAUACAGAUUCAAAAGUAUUAACACUAAAAAUUCAAAAUUAUUUUAUGGUUACAGUUAUAUAUAACUUCGGUUACAUGCAAUGAAAAUAUGAAGAAUUGAAUGCCAACAAAGAAUGGCCUUAUCAAGUGAUAAUAUGCAAGAAAUUACAAGAAGAAAAAGAAAAUGUUUGUACAUUACCUUACCAAGGCCAGAAUAUUUGCACAUUUUCCUCAUUUCCAAGCUCUAAUUGGGUACUGUUAUAGAUCAAUUUUCCCCUCAACACAGGUCUUCUAGCUUGAACUUCAAGGAGAAAAUCAUCAUUCUCUCACACUAUUACCCACCCCUUUCUUUCCUUCCUUCCCGCGUGCAUUUGACAGACAAAAAUUCAACCCUACUGAGCUACCAGAAGUAUAUAAUUUUGUUUCUCCUAUUCAUGUUUGCUCUAGACCAGCAUGAGUGAGGGGUUUGUGAAAACUGCCAACAAGUGAAGUGAAAACUCUAUCAUCAGGUAUAAGGCCGAUUUUCAUCAUCUCAUCAUACAGCUUAAAAGCUUCAUCCGCUCUCCCCUCUUUGGAUAAACCUGAUAUCAUUGAUGUAUAUGUCGCAACAUUUCUGGUUAUACCCUUUAACCUCAUUUCAUUGAAAAGUUUAAGUGCCUCAUCUACCCUGCCAACAAUACAUUCCCCAUGUAUUAGUGAUGAGUAUGUAUAUAAAUCUGGCAAUAACCCCUUGUUUAUCAUUUCAGAUUUUAUCUUAUGUGCUUGCUUCACUUUUUCUUUCUUGCAAUACGCAUCGAUCAGAGUGUUAUAUGUAAUAAUGUUUGGCACUUCUCCCUUUUUCUCCAUAUCCCUAAAUAACCUCUCAGCUUCAGCAAGGUUUCCUUCCUUGCAGUAUAUCUCGAUAAACAUAGUAAAAGUCACAACAUUUGGUUUAACACCUUUCUCUACCAUUGAAUUUAAAAUACACUUUGCUUCAUCAUACCUGUGCAAUUUACAUAGCCCAUUUGCAAGAAUGUUGUAUGUAAACACAUCUGCGUUGAUUCCUUUUUUUUCCAUGAUCGCUUGCAGCCUCAAAGCUUCAUCCAUCUUUCCUCGUCUGCAGUAACCAUCCAUCGUUGUGUUAAAUAUCACUAGAUUUAGGUCAACUCCCUUACUUUGCAUCUCUAACAACAAGAUUUCAGCAGCUUCCAUUUGACCUGCCUUGCACACUCCACCAAUCAAGGCACCAUACGUAUGCGCAUUAGGAACAAUGUCUCUCUGACUCAUCUCGUCAAACAAAGCAAAAGCCCGUUUCAUAUUUCCUAACCUACGACUCCAACUUAUCAUCGACGAAUAAACAUAAACAUCCAUUUCUAUAUUUUUUUCACGCAUUUCCUCGAAUAUCUUCUCAGCUUCCUCAAUAUCACCAGAACUCGAAUACCACUGAAUCAAAAUACUAUAAGUAGCCACACUAAAAACAACUUGUUCCUUCUCCAUCAACUUCAAUAUCUCAUCAACUCCCUUUCGAUCCUUUCUCCCAACAUACGCAUUCAACAGUGUAUUGUAAGUAAACACAUUCGGUUUCACAAUACCUUUCCCCACCAUCUCAUCCAUCAACUCCUUAGCUUUCUCAACCUCUCCUCUCCGACACAACACAUCAAUCACAAGCGUCAAAGACUGAACCCUAAUUUCAAAUUUAUUCGACUCAACCAUCCGAUGGAAAAACCUAACACAAAAAUCAACCUCGCCACAUCUCUUCAAAGCAAGCAAAAGCACAAAACAAGAUCUCUCCUCUAUCACCAACCCUUUUUCCUCCACAUAAUCAUAAACCCUAAUCGUCUCAUCAAACAACCUAUUAUCAGAACAAACCCUAAACAACAUAUCACAAAACUUCUCAACAAAAUGUGACUCAAAUUCAUCAACCAAAUCAACAAUACUCGAAACGGGGCAUUCAAUAUCUGAAUCAGUAACCAAACCAUUUAAAAUACUCUUCAUGGUAGCAAAUUUCCGAGCUUCGAAAAGUCGAGAAAUGAGAAUCAAAUGAGCCUUGAGGUCAGGUUUAAGUGAAAUGUUGGAAUGUUGGGUUUUGAGGAAAUGGAAAAAGGCUAGGCAAGAGUGAGGUUGGAGAAUAGGUUGAGAGAGAACACGAUAAGUAACAUGGGGAGUGAUGCAGGAGAUAAUUGAAUGAAGAUCAGGAUUAUUACUGGUUUUGGAAUAAUUAACGAGGAUUUGAGUAAUUUUAUGAACAAUUUCAUUUGGUUGGUGUUGUUUUGAAGGAAAGGAAACAGUUUUGUUGAAAACACUCAAAAGGAUCUUGUGAGAACUCAUUGUUUUGUUUAAUAAAUGAAAUUCAAAGAAAAAAUUAAGAAAGAGAGUGUUAAACGAACCUUUUUUUUUAUGGUUAUUUGGUAAGAUGCAGAAGAACUGAAUAAAACAGAACUUGUAAGAUACAGCGCGUGUUGAGUAUUAAGAACUGAAUCAAUCUACCGAUGAAGAAGAAGAACAACAAACAGUUCUCACUUCUUUUUAGCUGCGCAGUAUGGUUGUGUGUUCUUUAGGAGGGGGUGUUAUUAGAAUAUUUUGGAGGCAUUUUGAAUAGUAUUUCUUCAAAAUUUAAUCAUACAUAUGGAAAAAAGUUUUUUUUUGGUACUAAAUUAUUUUGUUAUCAUUUUUUUUUUACUAUUAAAAAAUUUAAUAUAUAUGUCUAAAUACUAUUCAUUUAUACUUGUGAUCAUUAAAAAAUAAAAAUUAUAUUUAUACAUUUAUAAAAAAUAUAACCAAAUUAAUAAUAAUCUAGAUAAUAAUAAAGAAAAUUAAGUUAUAAAUUUUAAAGUGAUAGUAACAUAUUAAAUUUGUAAAUUUUUCAAUUUAAUCUUAACAAUUUCAUGCUUUACGGGUAUCUAGAUUAUUAUAAAUUAUAUUUAAAUGUCUUGUAAGUACAGUUUAGUUCUUGUAAGUACAGUUUAGUUGGUAGUUGCGAAAACAAUUUUAUGUAGGGUCUGGGUUGGAACCUCAAGCUCCUCACUUUUCCAUAUUUAAAAUCUGUCAGUCUCAACCACCAAGUUACUUGAUAUAAAAAAAAAAAAAGUAAAUAGUCAAUUUCCCCCCUAAAAUUGUAAGUUUCAUCAAUUACCCCCAUGAAAUUAACAAAAGUUCAAUUACCCCCUUGAAAUUUCACAACGUUAGUCAAUUUACCCCCUCCGUCAAAUUUGUCAAAUUUUUCUGUUAGUGAACAUGACGUUUUGCAAAUACCCCCUGAAGUUUUGCACUUAUGUGCAAAAUGCCCCCCAAACUUAAAAAUUUAUAUUAUUUUUUUCUUAAAAACAAACAAUUAAUAGUUAAAUAUUAAAACUAACUAUUAAUUUUGGAAUUUGAGAAAACCACAUGCAUAUAUACAUCAAAAUAGGCUCUAAAAUGGGGAAAAAUAUGUAUUUUUAAAGUGACAAUAAUGGGAUGAUUUGUGGAUUAAUAUUGGGGGUUGUGUAGUUUAAAUGGUUUGAGCAAAUUGUUGAAGGAGUUGGAGGAGUUAAAAGACUAAGAUCGAUGGUGAAGGAGAAAAUAUAAAUUUAAAUCUGAUUAUUAAUUUGUUUAUAAACCUCUAAAAAUAAUAAUUUGUCUAUUAGAAAUAAUCAUUAUUAUCACUUUAAAAAUACACAUUUUUCCCUAUUUUGAUGUAUAUAUGUAUGUAGUUUUUCCAAACUCCAAAAUUAAUAGUUAUCUUUAAUAUUUAACUAUUAAUUGUUUGUUUUCAAGAAAAAAAUAAUAUAAAUUUUUAAGUUUGGGGGGCAUUUUGCACAUAAGUGCAAAACUUUAGGGGGUAUUUGCAAAACGUCAUGUUCACUAACAGAAAAAUUUGACGGAGGGGAUAAAUUGACUAACGUUGUAAAAUUUCAAGGGGUAAUUGAAGUUUUGUUAAUUUCAAAGGGAAAAUUGACUAUUUACUUAAAAAAAAUAGAAUUAAAAUGAUCUUAUAUAUAGUGAAAUUCUUUAAAGUACCAUGUUAAAUACAAAAAAUGAGUUUAAUUAAGAAAAUAUACUUUAUUACUUAUUUAAAUACAUUAUUUGUGUAAUAGAGUUUUUUUUUCCGACAAUAUUUAAAGAGGUGCAACACAAAAGAUUAGGAGAUCACCCAUUCUAAUACUACCUUGUCUAAACACGUUAGUUGCAAAAUUAUAAAAUUCGAUACAUUAGUGUGAUUGUACCUUAUUUUUAAACUAAAGUUCUAAAUAGGCUAGUAAUUUAUCAUGCUUCCAAAAGGUCGGUUCAGAAAUUAGUUUUAGACUUAAUUUUAUUUUACAGAUCAGACUUGGACUAGUUUGGGCCAGCUUAUUCCAAAUUAAGUUAUUUAAUUAAUUAAUUAUUAAAUUAGUAAUUCACCGGUGAAGUGCCUAUAAAAAACGACAUCGUAUAAUUAUAUUAGCAAAGCCAUUAUUAUUCAAUCGUCAUAUCGAUUAUAUAAAACCCUAAUCGAUAAACGAUGAACGACCUAAAGUACCAAUUCGAUUUACGAAGGAGAGAAAAAGAUAAUCGAAGAAUGAGAACAAUGGAUUUGUUCGGAGAGGAGAUGGAGGAUCAGAUAACAACCAUGGCUAUGGAUGUUGACGACGUCGACAAUUUCGAUAUCUUAUCCGAAGGUAUUUCCGUCAAUGAAAGCAAAGUCGCUGAUGCUGAUUUCUUCAAUUCCUUCCAAGAUGAUUUCGAUGAUGCUGAUAUCAACUAGUUAGGUUUUUUUCAUAUUGAUUAGAAAAGAUGAAGCUGAAUUUGAUUUAGUACUUUGUUUUUUUUUGGAUUUUUCUGUUAAUAUGAUGAUGGAUCUUUGAUGAUUAAUCGGAUUUAUUUCUUGUUUUGAAUUUUGUGAUUUAAUGUGUUUUGUGUUUUUAUAUGUGAUUGAUUAUGAUUAUGAAUUUAUAAUUGUGAUUGCUGAUGAUUUUAUUAGGUUUUGGUGAUUUCUUAGGUUUUUUUUUGUUGUAUCUUUAUGUUUUUGAAAUCAUACUCUUGAAUGAAUUUACUUGUGUUGCUCGGGUUCUUGAAUUAUUCAGUCUAAACAAAUUGUUUUUUGAACGGGUAAACAUGUUUAGAUUGGGAUUCCCUUUAAAACUGUUGUCACAUAGAAGAAAAUAGCGGUUUGUUCAAAUUCCGCUUAGUUACGAUGCUAUAACGCAGCUAUAGUAAUUAUUUGACAACACUUUAUAUACGUGGAUCACGGAAUAAUCGUUACUUUGUUGAAUUAUACUACAACAUAGCUGCUAUUUGACAACACUUCUUCUAGUUGGAAAGUGCAUUAGCCACAAUUAUACAUUUUAGGUUGUUUGAUCAAUGUUGCGUUGGAUGUGUGGUAAGACUACACAUGAUAGGAUAACAUUAGAGAGAGAUUUGGGGUAGCUUCUAUAGUAGAAAAGAUUGUGGAAACUUGGCUUAGGUGGUUUGUGCAUGUAGAGAGAAUCCCUGUAGAUUUUGUAGUAAGGAGAGUAGUUAAGUUACUGAUGGUACAGGAAGACCUAGAAAAGCUAUGCGAGAAAUUAAACUACAAAGAAAGAUCUAGAAAUUAAUGAGUUAGAUAGAAAUAUGGUAUAUGAUAGAGCACUAUGUUUGAUCCUUGGUGCCAACCCAAUUAGUGGGAUAAAGCUUGGUUGUUGUUUUGUUGUUACCAAUGACUCACAAUUCAACUGUGUAUAUCGAAUCAAUUGAUCACAUUGAAAUGUGGGAGCUGUUUUAUCUUGAUUGGGUUAUCUGAGAAGUAUGACUGGAACAAAUAUGUGAUUUUCCAACUGCAGGAAAUUCAUAUUUGAACAUAUUAUUGACAGUUAAAGAAGUGUUAUUCAACUAGUUAACAACAUAACAAUUGGAAUGCUAGCAGCAUAGGCUUUUGAACACACUGUUUAAUGUGUUUCAUGAUUGAUUGGGUCAUUUUUCAAAAGGUCGUACACUUUUUAAGAGGUAAUAAAUUGUGGCGAUGCCUUUCUAAAAAUGGGAUCAGUUAAUAAGACUGGUGUAAGCAGCCCCAGAAUCAUCUUAAUGGAAUAAAUCGUAUAGUUCCUUAUCAUAUAUAUUUUGUGUGAAAAUGUCUGCCAUAGCUGUAAAUUGACUUUCUCGUUGUUUUUUGGUGGAAAGUAGUCUUGUUUCAGGAAAGAAGCGCCUAUAGCUGCAAGCACAGUCAUACAUAUAUACUAUUGAUGAAUGCUUUGCACUACUGAGAUAUUUAGCAAAGUUACAAUGCUUGUAUGUCAUUGCUCUAGCGAGAUAUAGUACAUGCAUCUUUGAUUUCCCAAGAUCACAAUUGUUAACUGGUGUGAACAUGUUGGAAGUGUCUUGAAUUGCAGCUUAAUGUUCAAAAUCCGCUUAAGUUGUUAUAACCUUUUUUUGACAACGCUUUGCACUAUAUAGUGUAUUAUGGAAUAGUAGCGAUUUGUGUAAAUUCUGUCAUUCGAUAGCUGCUAUUUGACAACAAUGUCUUCUAGUUGGAAAAUCUUGCAGGAAAUACAUUUGCCGCGAUUAUACAUUUUAGGCUGCUUGAUUAGUGGUUCACAUUGCAACUGUGUAUUUUGAAUCUAUUUAUCUUCAUCGGACGGUCUGAGAUGUUUGACUGCUGCAAACGAGUGGUUUUCCAACUGCAGGAAAUUCAUAUUUGAACAUAUUGUUGCUCACUAUAGCUAGUUAUAAAAACUUUUGGAUACCAAUGGAAACUUUUAUUAACCAAAGCAGCACCGGAAUAUUCUUUUAGGACUAAAUUGUAUACACUUCAUAUAUAUUUUGUAUGGCAAUGUUUGCUGUAGCUGUAAAUAGAGAAAUACGGUGGUGUGUUGUCUAUAUGUUGAAAAGCUAGUCUUUGUUCAUGAAGGAAACAUCUUCUACUCUAUGUAAAAUUAUGCAAAAUUAAAAUGUUUGCUUGAGGUUGAUCUAGCAAUCAAGUGAAUCUUUGAUUUCUCAAAAGAACAAUUGCUGUCAGAUCUGGUCUCUUCAUUUCUCAUGGAACAUUGCUUUACUUACAAGUCAAUUUAUUUAGAUAUUCACCUUAGAAGCACACUUUUUCCCACCCUUCUUUCUGGUAUCUAUAUAAUUGUGUUGUUUGAUAUGGUCAAAGAUGUAGUUGUGAUGGCUUUUAAUGGUGCGGAGGUGUAGUGAUAAUCUAAGGUGAAGUUUUAUGUUAUCUUGAUAAAAUAAAAUAAAAAUGAAACUUGAAUUUCUGGUGGUUUUGAAAUGGUGUCUAUGAUUCAGCAUUGUCUACUGGUGCAGUCUGACUUGCCUCGUUUGGUUGCUUGUUCUGGCAACGAGUUUCUGUGUUUUCGUCAUUUAAACCGAAAAGUUUUCCUGAUUGAUAUUUGUGGCUCAAUAAAGAGUUGAGGUCUUGUAUAAAAUUUCCUGAUAUUGAAUUGUUCAAAUACAAUGUGUGCCCAAAAUUUGUUGCUGUAAAAGAUUUAACUUGAGCUAACUCAUGUCUCUUCGACUACCUGAGUGAGAAAACAAACACAUGGCUUCACAAGAGUCUCAAAUACAACAAGAGUUUGCCCACUUGACAGCAAAUUCAACAAGAGUUCAAAUACAUGGCUUCUCACAAGUCUAGUGCAACCGGUAUAAUUUAUUUCUAAACAUUUGACAAAUUAUGGUUAGCGAUGUUUAAAAACGUGAUUCAUUAUCACUAAAAAACUAGAACAAGAACAAGAAGACCAACAUUGUCUAUUGCGAAUUACCAAAACUAGAUUUAAUUAUACACUUGAUCAAGAGUGACCAAAACUAGUUUUCAUUGUCGUCCGAAACCUACCUCUUUCGGUUUACUCUUGAUCAAGUGUGAAAUAAAGGCUAUGGUUGAAUACAAUUGUUUUGUAGUACAUUACAACACUGGUUUUUUGGAAUUCUUCUUGCUCAGAAGUCGGUUCUUCAACCAUGAUGUACUUGGUUUAAAUCAAACAAAAAGCAAAAUCACAGCUAAAAAUAUUGAGGUAGUCAAUACCUCCUAUUUUUUAUUUUCAUUUUUAUUCAAACUUUAAUUUUAUUUCAUAAGAAAAGUUGGGAGGGUCAAUUUAGUAACGAAGAAAAAUAAAAACAACUUUAGUAUAUGAUAGUUUUUUGAAUGAUAAAGAAAAAGUACAAAAAUAAACCAUGUCUCGAAAAAAAUUAUUUUGGAACAUUUUCUUUUUGUAGGGAUAAAAAAAAAAUUAAAUAUUAUUUCAGGUGACAAAAAUAAACCAUGACAUGUCUCUCUCUGUCCUCUGAUGAUGGUUCAUGUAGGAAUCAAGUUCCCUAAAUUUUUUUUCUUCGGGUGAAAAUUGCUCUUAUUUUUCUUAGUGUUUAAAUUGGAUCUAUCAGGUUUUCUCAGGACUAAAAUAUGAUUUACUGGAUAAUAGUUACAGUUUAAGAAAAAAGGUGGUGUGGUGUAGUCAAGAAAAUUGGGUGCAGUCAAGGUCAUACACACAGCAUACAUAACAAUUACAGUUUUAAGAUGACAGAGACAAGUAUGUACUAGUUUAGUGACAGCUACACACUUUAAUAAAGGAUUAAAAGAUAGAUUGCAUCUCAUAUUAACCCAAAAUGAGAGGGAAAAAAAUGGUAUUUAGAUGGAAUGGCCAUUUUUUAUUCAUUUUAAACGAUCCAGAUAAUGGAUUCUGAUAGCAUAAAAUGUAAAUUCUCUUUCAGAGAAGCCAAGUCUAUAUUAAGAUGACAGACAACGUUGGUUGAUAAUAUUUGAGUGACAGUUUCACACUUGAUCAAGAGUGAACCAAAUGAGGUAGGUUUUGGAUGAGAAUGAAAAUACAGAGUUCAAAUUACACAUCCUAAUAGAGAUCGAUAUAUAUUCUAGUAACGAUACUUGGUUGAGUAAUCUUUGGGAGCAAUGACGAGACCACGUCCCUUCCUUGCACCUCUGUAGACAGUUUCAAUGAUGUCAAUGAACUCCUGUUUGUCCUUCAUAGCCCAAUUGAUUUUGUUGUUGUUUCCAGUUCCAAGAUCUAUCAUGAUGUGCUUGUUCCUAAAGAAGAACAUGACUGUCGAAGGGUCGUACAGCUCAUACAUAGUGUUGAAAUCAGGCACCUCUGUGAUGUCCACAAGGUAUAUCACAGCAAAGUUCUUUAUUGUCUCUGCAACCGAUGACAGCACCUCAUCCAUCUUGACACAUAACAAAACAAAAUAGAACACCACAUCAAACGGGAGUACCAGCCUAUGUUAACUUAAAAUCAGGAAUUGGCAUAUGAUGAUGUUGACAGAAACAAACACUAUGAAUGAUAUGAUAAUAUCAAUCCAGGCUUUAAAACUGUGGUGGUGUUUGUGGUUUCAUCACAUCACAUCCAUGAAAUUGUGAAAAAUUACAGAUAAAUCGUAAAAGUGUGACUGUUACUGUAAUCACAAAGUAGUAGAAAAUACAUCUUCAAAACUACAACUCAAUUUGAAUUAGCUUUAUGACUUCACACUUGCAAAAAAAAUUCCUAUAACUAAAUAGAUUCGGUUGUGUUUACAGAGAAGCUAAUCAAGGAGCUUCAGAUAAAGUUGAGAUGCAGAAAGUAAUUUGGAAAAUACUUGUUAUGAAAUCAAUUACACAAAUUAGCAAGAAACAAUUUUGUACCUUGUGAUCAAUCUACUCCUACCUAAUUCAUCACUAUAUAUCUCUCUUAUCUCCAUAAUUGACUGUUUCCUGUUUCAUAAUCUUUUUGUUCGAGAAAGAAUCGUGCUGUAUAAACUGUUGAACUAAUUUCAACUUAUUUUUACUCAUAACAUUAUAUAAGUUGAAUGGUGUUUUUACCAUUAAGUCGUAACUAGUUUGUUGCUGAAAACGUAAUAUUUUUCUCAAAAUUUAUAUAAUCAAAAGUACUUUUUGGUAGGUUGUUAUCAAUACAUUGAGAGUGCAACUAGCAAAUAGUACUAUCAAUAAAUUGAAAUAUAAAACCUUGACAUAUUCAUGUAUAGUUGAAUGAUAAUUAAGCUAACGACCUUGGAUAAUAUUUUGUGUUAUAGUGAAUGAAUGAAUAAAGAAUAGAAUAGAGUAGUUACCUGCAUGCAGGUCUCAUCCCAAUCAUGACCAAAACGGAUGACAACAAGACGCUCUUCCUCAGCUAGGAUAGCCUGAUCCACAGCCCACCCUGAAUGCAAGUGAGGCAACAGGUACGACAUCUUUCUUGCUCUUCGUUAUCUCCCCUCUACUUUCUGUUCCAAACAACACAAAAUCACUUUUCUUAAUUAGGGUCUCCAGUCUCAACAUUCAAGAACAACAAAUUAGUGUAGCGGAUAAGCAAAUCUAUCAUUGAAUAUUAUGACUUUUUUUUUUUGGUGGUGGUCGGGGUUCAAACCGCAGACCUUGCAUGUAUUAGCAUUGUCCAUACCAACUGAGCUAAGCUCACGAGGACUGAAUAUUAUGACUUUAAUUACCAAUAUAAAAAACUCAUAAUACACUUUUAAGAAUAUUAAUUUACAAACUAUUCCAUCAAACACUUCAAUUUAAUUCUAUUCUCAAUAACAUAACAUGAUUUCUAACAUUAAUUUGAUAAUCUCCUUCAACAUACAAUUAAACACUCUCAAUUCCCACAAAUUCAUACCAAAACCUAGGGUACAAAAUCAACCCGAAUUUAACAACAAAACUUCAAGGAAAUUCUAAAAUCAUUUCUAAACACAACAAAAUCUCAUAAAUAUCAACUAAAUCUAAACAGAAUCAUGAAAUUCAAAUCCUAUACCAUUGAAAAGCUAAUAACCAACAUAACAAACAAGGUUUAAAACAACAUCAAACAGUAGCAACAAAAUUGAAAAAUGAAAAUUAGGGUUUCAAUUAAAAUUGAGGUUUUUUGCUAUAGAUACAAAAAAAACUGAGCCAAAUAAUGAAAUUAAACAACAUCAAAGGCAUCAAUUCAUCUUAACAAUUGUCAAUUUUGGAUUUGAUUUGAAGAGGAAAAGUAGGGUUUGGAUAAAAAUUAAGGCUUUAUGGAUUAGUCGAAAAAAAAUAGAAGUGGAGUACUUACAAUGAUUGAUGGUGCUGAAACGAAAAACGCAGAUUGUAGUCGUAGAGAUUGAAAAGAAAAGAAAAGUAUAAUAAAAUAAAGUUUGAUUCAAUUCCUUUUAGUAUUCUGGGUAGUGAAUGGUAGAGAUUGAUCUAAAAUAAGAGGACAGAUAACAACCAUUCGAUCAAAAUAAUUGAUAGAUAAAUUGGUCCAAUCAAUUUUAAAUGGAAUUUUACGUUUUUUUUUUAUUGCAUAAAAUGGGAUAUUAAAUUAUUAAUAAUUUGUGUCCCAGUCAGUUUAGGUCACUUGGUUAGGGAUAAUGCAUAUUAUAUGGAGGGGUUGAGAUUCGAAUCACGGACACCCGACUUAUUCACCUUUAGGAUGAAUUCUCUGGCCGCUAGACUACUUGACAAAAAACAAAAUUAUUAAUAAUCUUAAUCAACUCGAUAACUAAUUCAUUGAAUUUGGUUUGAAAAAUUAAUUUGUUAAUCAAAUGAAUUGACUUGAUAUAUAUUUCGUUUGAUUUAUGAUAUAGUUUAGUUUAAGUUAUUUUUGGUUGCCUUGAUAAAAAGAUGGGUAAAUUACUCCCUUUGAUGUAACAUCGAUUAGGGGAUGUGGAGUUGAAGGAGUCUACAAGGGAGGGUAGAGACACAAGAGAUUCAUGACUUCACUUUGGAUCUGUAAAUUGGUUGUAAGUUAAUGGACGGAAAAAAGUUGUCUCUAAGUUUAAGUUCAUGGAUUUGAAUAUUGAGUUUUCUCUUAAGUUUUAAUGAACAUUCAAGUCAAGUGUUGGGGAUUUGUUAAAUAGGAAAAAUAUAAUAAAUUUGUAAAUUAAAUGAGGAAAAGAGGUUGCUAGCGUGUUGUUGGUUUAUAGAGUGUACAAUAUGCUUUGAUCGGAAGACAAUCUGUAAUGUUAGGUUAUUUAACUGGUCUAAAUUGGAUCAAAACAUUCACCGGUUGAAACUAAAUGACCCAUAUAACAUAUGUGUGGCAUUUGUCUUACUCGAAAGAAAGAAAACAAGUGGAUUUUAUUGAGUUUGAUUUAGUGGUAAAAAAUUAUACAUUGGGUCUAGAGAUUCUAGAUUUGAGCUAAGUUAGUGCUAUUAGAGGGAGAGAAAUUUAAAUAUUUUGUAAGUGCUCUUUGAACAAUCUUAGAGAUUAUUUUUGCUUGGACUGAGACAUUAUUAUUUCCUCUAAUUUUUUUAUGAAUUAUAAAAUACAUAAUAAAUAAAAUAAGGGUAAAAUUACACUUGUCGUCCCUUAAUUUAAUUUCAGAUUGCAAUUUUUCCUUUAUAUUUUUUUAUGUCAUUUUUGUCUUUUUGAUCCGUCUGCAUAUGAAUUUUUAAGCAUCAAAUCUAAAAUUCAUAUGAAAACACGAAUAAAGCAUCAUAAAUUUGAACAUUAAGAACUCAUUUCGAAAUAAAAUUCUAGAUUUAAAUCUUAAAAAUCUAUAUUAAAAUUGAUUAAAAGGACAAACGUGACAUAAAGAAAAGAUAGACAACAAAAUCAUUAUCUAAAAUUAAGUUAAAGGACGGCGAAUGUAAUUUCGUCACAAACCAAGUGUAAAAGUUGUUGUCAAUAACGAUGUCAUAGAAUUUAUAAAUUAUUUAAUUUGUCAAAGGAGUUAGAAGUCGACUUGAAGAAAAUUGACUCAAGUGGAGCUAUCAAGCUAAGAAUCCUUUUACCUCUUAUAUAUAUGGAGCUAUCAAGUUAGAAGUCAUAGGAGUUAAGAAUCAUUUCGAAAUAAGGAUGAAGGAUCAAAUGUUAUUUAUGGACUACUAGGAUGUGCCAUCAUCAACUAUAGGUAAAUUGAAUUUCAUUAUUUGUUGCUAUAUGCAAAAGUAGUAGCAAAUGUUAAGUGUUCUGAAAAAUAAAUAAAUUAUCUAUCUCAUGAAUUCCUACAUUAUUUGGAAAUAUUUUAACAAGGAAAGAAAUUUAGGCACAAAUGUUUACAAUAUAGGGUGAAUUAGCGUUUAAUUGACUACUAAUACAACAUGGGGUCCAUAGCUCAGUGGUAGAGCAUUUGACUGCAGAUCAAGAGGUCACCGGUUCGAACCCGGUUGGGCCCUCCCUCCUUUUUUUUUAUUGUUUCUCUUAUAAAAGAGUAAUCACUUAAACGUCUAGGCCCCUUGGUUGAUCAUCUUGCUUAUAAUUAGUAUUUCUUCUUCUUAUUAUUAGUUAUAAUCAAGUGAUUUUUUAUAAAAAAAAAUAUUCAUAAUUGUAUUACUGUUAGUAAUCUUUUUUUUCCUACCGUAAUUGUAUCCAGAAAUAACACAUUAUCUAUAUCUAUAUAUAUUAUUUUUGAAUAAGAAUCUGUUCGUAUCAUUCAAAAAGAUAAAAAUUUAUAUUAUAUCUUUAACGUAUCUUGUUUGCUCCACGACUAACCAACCAUGCACUUUGACGUAGAUCUGGCUUUGUGUUACACAAAUAUCCUAGUGAUUCUAUAUGACAUGUUUUAUAGAGUUGCAUAAAUUAGUUUUUCAUUAGCAUAUCUACCAUGCUUAGCUCCAAUUUCAGUUGAUGGUACAACUGCAUUGCGAUUGAUUCAUCAUUAUUCAUGUUGAAUUUAUUCAACACAUCUUUAACAUACUUAUUUUCAUGUUGGAAUAUUCCUUUUCUUGUGUUCCUAAAUUCUAUUACUAGAAAAUAGGAUAAGAUUUGAAAUUCAAGCAUCAUGUUUUCAAAUACAAGCAUAGUAUCAUAAAUUCUUUCUUAUUUGAAUCCUUAACAUAUGCCCUAUGUUUUGAUGUGCUUUUGAUGAAAGCCUGAUUGAAUAAGAAAAUUGUCUAUUCUCUAAUUCCAACCUCGAGGUUUUUGCUUCAACCCAUAAAAUAUAUAUUUUUUCAAUCUAAACAUCUUUUCUUGACCUUUGAGAUCAAAACAUAGUGUUUUUUUACAUAGACCUAAUUUGUUAGUUAUGACCUAAAUUGAUCAACAAAAAUCACAUUUCAUUACUAAAUUGUCUAGUUGAAAACAUGUUUGAGAUUUAAUAUAAAAAGGAGAUAUUUGUGGAUAUGUUUAUAAUUUUCAUCCCUAAAAAAAAAAUGUUUAUAAUUUUGAUACAUUCAAAAACUUUAGCAAUAGUAGUUUACACAUUCAAUGAUGAAAAUCAUUGUUUAUCCACAAAAAGUGAGCAUCGCCUUAUUAGUGUAUGUUAAUUUCGUUUCACUUUUGAAGUAAUCAAAAUUGAUUUUAGAAUGCGAAAAAUUGUCCCGUGAGCUUAGCUCAGUUGGUAAGGACAAUGCAUAAUAUAUGCAAGGUCCAGGGUUCGAACCCUGGACACCACAAAAAAAAAUGUGAAAAAUUGAUUUUGACAUGUUUGGUUACUUUGACUAGAAUUGAAUAUUCCUUCAUAAUUGAUUUUAUUAUUAGAAGCAAGUAUUUGGAACUUUUGAUUCUAAAAUUGAUUUUUACACUCAAAUUUAUUGUUCAACUUGUGAGGUGAACAUGAAUUUUUAUUGAUACAAUGCCUUAUAUAGAAGCUGAAUAGAAAUGAAGUUCAUCUAACUGUGUUACUUGUAAAACAAGUAACCUCUAUAUUUGGUAGAAUCAACUACUUUUCCACCUUCAUCUCUUAAUAGCUUGUUCCUAGGGACUAUAAGAUUGCAUACUUUGUUAAUGUUCUCCAUGCCAAACCUAGUUAAUAUUUCAUUAGCAAAUUUCAGCUGGGGAAUGAAUGUUCCGUAUUCAAGUUUCUUAACUUCCACACCAAGGAAGUAUCUUAUUUUUUCUAAAUCCUUCAUAACAAACUUGUUUUUCAUUGAGUUUUUAGAAUUCUCAAACAUCACUUCAUCAUUUCUUAUAUUGAGGACAUUUGUCAAAUUUCCGUUAACAAAAAAAGAAUCUAUCUUACUAUACCAUGCCCUUUGAGCUUUCCUUAGACCAUACUGAGCUUUCAUCAGCUUAUACAAUUUCUUCUUCUCUUUAUUCUGAUAGCUAAGAGGUUGAUCUACGUAUACAUUCUUCACAUCUAGCUGAUAAACUUUUCAGUCAUUACUAGCUACAAUAACAAGUAUAGUCCUAAUGGUAUCCCAUCUUGCUACCGGAUCGAACACCUCAUUAUAGUAAAUUAUGUGAUGUCGAGAGUAUCCUUUAGCUACAAGUCUAGCUUUGUGCCAAUAACCGGACCCUCACUCUUACUGAAAAAGGCUAGGUUUUGCAAUUUUCUUCUGCUUCUCUGCCAAUAACUUAGUCUUUACUCCACACAUGAGGUCUUCUUCCUAUGAUUGUCAGAUUCCUCAUUGCUAGAAUCUGAAUGAGUAAUCUCAUAUGUUUCUCCAUUACUAGUGUUACCACCAUUAAUCUCAUUUGUUUCUCCAUUACUAUUAUUACCAGUGGCGGAGCCAGAAAAAAAUAUUAGGGUGGGCCACUAAAAUUAACUAUUGAAAAAUUGUUUAAAGUCUCACAAAUUAGACCUAUAAUUGAAUUAUUUAAAUUUUUCGGGGUGGACCACUACACCAAUUUGCGGAAAUUUGGAUCAACCGAAACCUAAAACCGACGUAAAAUUGUAUAAAAUCUCACAAAAUAGACCUAUAAUUGAAUUAUUUAAAUUUUCGGGUGGGCCACUACACCACUUUGCAGGAAUUUGGAUCAACCAAAACAUAAAACCGAUAUAAAAUUGCAUAAAAUCUCGCAAAUUAGACCUAUAAUCGUUGAUUUUUUAAUUUUUCCGGGUGGGCCGUGGCCCACCCCAGCCCAUGAAGGGCUCCGCCACUGAUUAUUACCUCCAUCAGAGUGAACCUCAACAUUUGCUUCUUCAUCAUUGUUGUCCUUCUCAGCACUUAUGUGACCUCAGCAUGUUUGCCCUAAUCACUAGCUUUUUUCCCUCCUAAGCACGUAUCUAAUCUCAGCCGUUGAUUAAAAUUCAUUGAAAACGUCAUAAUGGCCAUUGAAAACGUAGUUAAUGCUAAUCAAAUCACCAUAACUCUUAACGAUUACCAUCUCCUACCAUCAUUUUUAUGUACAUAAACUCUUAACGAUUGCAUACCCAUUAUCCUCUCCUAACAUCAUUUUUAGACCAAGACAGUUUAGACUUACCAAUGGAAAGUGAUCCAUUAACUCUCUUAGCUAUGCACUGCUUGAAGGGUACAAAUAACACAAAAAAAAUCUAACCAUGUUUCAUCUUCUUUCUUGAUCUCUUAUUUUUUGUUUCGUUUAUAUUUUUCAACUUGCACUAAUUUAUUUGAAUCUUUGAUCUUUUUCAGCUCCAUUAGAUCCAAAUCCUAUAACUGAUUUGGACAAGUUUGUUAACAGAUCGCGAGUUCAAUAUAGAACUCUUCGACUUGAGUUUCGUGUAACAGAUGUGAGCGCAGGAUUACUAAUAAUGUCUUUUUAUAGAUGCGACAAUUCAAAUUAAAAGUUUGUUUGAUUAGCAUUUUCACUUACUAAUGUCGGCAGUAUAUGUUUAUCAGGGUGCACUUAUGUUGCCAAAAACCUUUGUCUCUGAUUUUGGUGCAUCACUAGGUGAUUACGCCACUUUUAUCGACCCUAACAACAACCAGUUUGAGGUUAUAGUUGAAAGGAUACGUGGUAGUGUGUUUUUAACUACUAGGUUCAAUGUCAUACACGACUUUUGUGAUGUCCAUUUGGGUGGAACUAUUGUAAUGGUGUUUACCGGUGCUGGACAGUUUGGGAUAAUUGAUGGAGUUCAGUUUUUAGGGUUUAUGUAGUUGGAUCCAUUUUGAUUUGAUGGAGUUCAUUUUUUAGGGUUUAUGUAGUUGAAUCCAUUUUGAUGUUUACGAAUUAUCUUUUUUGUUUUAAUAAAAUUUAUGUUAUUGUCUUCCCAGUUUAAUGUGCUCUCCUUUUGAAUUACAAUCUAAUUUAUGAUUGAUAGACUACAAUAAUAUGAGUUAUAAAGACUCCAUCAAGUAGUGUCAUUGUGCAAUAUAAGAGUACUGUCAUUAUCAGCUUAAGUUAUAUUAGAUGACAUUUCAGCUUAUGGUUGUAAAAAUGCAAUCAAUUAUGUUGACAUGAUCCGAACAAAUUAAGGAGAUAUGUUGUAAAGAAAAUUCUAUACAUGCUAAUAAUUAACUAAAAAACUUCAUCUUCCUCAUGCAAGUUAUUUAUUGAUUCGCAUGGCCCAUCAUCACUUUUGACAUGUCCAUAUCUACUAUACUUCAGUAAAGGGCAUUCUUGGAAAAAUACAUUUAAUUUUUCAAUAUGCACCAAUUUUCUACCAUACUUUUGGGUCAUAUAUUCGAAUAAGAAUUGCUUUUAAUUGCUUUUAUGCAGUAUGCACUAAUUGCUCUGCCAAUUACUACCUAUUGAAAGCAUUCACGAAGAUUUAAAUAGUCGAAAUUUGCAAUAAAUAGUCGACAUUUCAGGUCGCAUAGCAUUACGAAUCAAUUUGCAAUAAUUGAUUUUAUGGCUAUAAUGAAUAAUAAUUAGUACCAAUAGAUGACUAUGGUCAUCGACAUUUAAAACUUUCAAAUUCAAUUUGCCAAUUACCUAUUUAAAUACCACUUAGUUGUGAGAAUACAUCUAUUCUGUUCUUUAAGCGAAAAUAACUAUUUUUUUCAACUGCAAAGAUGGCCAACAUUUUCACCCCAUUUCAGCAAUCAUGUUCAAUCCAUUGUUGAUAGCACUUAUCCGAACCUGUUAGAUGGUUUGACUGAUAUAUCAUAUUUUCAGGAGAAAGCACUACUUGCUCCAACAAACUCAAUAGUGGAUCAGAUCAACGAUUACAUGUUGAUGCCCGGUGAAGAGAAGACAUAUUUGAGCUAUGAUACUCCACUUACACAGAAUGGGAAUUUUGAUGCUGUUGAUGAUGUCCACACUCCAGAAUUUCUCAACACAAUAAAUGCUUCAGGACUUCCCCAUCACAAGAUAAGAUUGAAGAUUGGAGUUCCAAUUAUGCUUUAGAGAAAUAUUGAUCUAAAGUUGGGAUUAUGCAAUGGAACAAGGUUCCAGAAUGAGAAAAUUUGUGCUUGAAGCUAAGGUUAUAUCUGGAAGUAACAUCAGCGAAAAAGUUUUCAUACCUAGGUUAUCUCUUUAACCGUCUGAUGUUAAAAUUCCUUUCAAAUUCCAAAAAAGACAAUUUCCAAUAUCUGUUUCAUUUGCCAUGACAAUCAACAAGAGUCAAGGGAAAUCACUUUAAAAUGUUGGAAUUUAUUCGCCGAGUCCUGUGUUCUCGCAUGGUCAGUUGUACGUUGCAAUUUCCAGGGUCACUUCAAGACAGGGUUUGAAAAUACUAAUCAUUGAUGGAGAUGAAGAGAGUACUGAUACGACCUCAAAUGUUGUUUAUCACGAAGUCUUUCGUAAUGUAUUUUGAUGGUUAAUGUUCAAAACUUUUUGUUAUAUAUGCUACCAUUUCAUUUUGCUGCUAUUGUUGUCUUAGGAGGGAACAUAUUUUUAAAUUGCUAUAAAACUUCUAUUAACUAAAUCUGUUUUACAUUAUUGCGAUUGAUUUGAUUAACUUUUACGUGGUAUGACCCGUGCGGUAACAAGAAAUUGCACCAUUUUUAUCCCAAAAUUUUUAUUUUUGGAUUGCGCUUUUGUUAACAAUGAACCACUUGGUUAAGAGAAAAUGUAUAGAAAGAUUGUAAUUGUAUUGCGUUGUUGGAAGAGAGAAAAGAGACAUGGAGUUGGUGGUUAGAUUUGGUAUGAGUGGACCAUAAUAAGAUAUUGUAGAAAAUCUAAUCAAACGGGAGAAAAAAUUGGUUAUGAAACAAUAUUUUUACUGUUUCACGAGGUGUAACAUAAACCUGUAGAAUGAGGUGUAAUAUGACAAUUAACAUACGUAUCAUGCUUUCCUUUCUUGAAGGAAAAAACAUACGUAUCAUCCAAACUAAUAGUGCCAAGUUAUAAAAUUAUACGACAACGCUGAAAAUUAAACAAUGGUUGUGCAAAAAUGACUGUAAUGUUAGAACUAUAAAUUUGUUAAAUAUUUUCCACUUGCUAUCUAGAUCAGCCACUCUGCCCAUCCUUUCCGCAAAGUUAUGUAUACUGAAAAUAUUACAACGUUGUCAUUUUCCUUGUUGCCAAUACAUGUAGAGUUCUUUAAUUCAACUGAAAGUUAAGUUUCAAAAGACAAUUUAUUAAACCAUGCCAAGUUGUUAUUUCCCUUACAAGUUACGGAAAACUACUCUGAACAGAUUAUUUGGAACAAAGAAUGAAAUUAGAAAAUCAACAACAUAUUGCACUGGUUCUAGAAUGGAAACCAGAAAUACACUGAGAUGAUGCUCAGAUUUAAUUUGUUAUCAUGCCAACCUAAUUUUCAACCCGCUCUCUAAAAUAAGGUGAAAUCCAUGAGUUCCACUAAUUCAUGUAGAUCUCAUGCCUAUUAACGAGACCCAUGUGAAUUUCACUUAUUCAUAACAGUGUGACACUACAUAUGGACACCUCUCAGUCUCAGUGGAGAUUUGACUUUGGUUGUAAUAUUUUGAGACUAACCCAAUCUGCUAGACUCAAUCCUGUUUUGAUCAUACAAAAAAUGAGAACAAAUAUUCUUCUCAAUCACAAUGAGUAUAUCCUACCAUACCAGUAAAUAUUAUGUGCAUUUUAUCCGUAUCUUCUUCCAGUUUGUAUGUAACGUACUUCUAUUUGUACAUGGACCUCAUCUGUCUGGCCUUGCAGCCACCAGACCUUGUUGGCUCAGUAUAAGCUGUUAUUUACAUCUUGUUCUGACCUUGAGGCAACUUGGUAAUUUGAUCUUACAUUCUGAAAUAAUUUAAUCAUUAAGCAGUGUCAUAAAUUAACAACAAAAACUGAAGUAAUUAUAAGGGGGAAUUGGUAAUUGUAUAAUCAUAUCACUAAAAUAGGAGUAAAGCUUGCCAAAGCACCCUUCAGAUACAAGUGACAUUAAUUUGAUCCUCUAAACCGUCGAUAUCAAUUUGGUCUUUAAUUAUAACCCGUCAAUAUCAAUCUUGGAUAGACCACGAUACAAUCUUAGAAUUUGGAUUCAACUUAACUUCAUCUCAGUAAACCGGCUUGACAUUAGUUUGAUAGAAAAGACUGAACACUAACCCCUACUUAUAGAGAUAGACUAUAUCAUAAAAAAAUAGGAAAUUUAGAAAACAAAUGAUGACAAAUAUAAAAACUAAUUCUAGCAUUAUAAAAAGUAAAUUAAGAUUCUCUAAUAUAAUAAUAUCAAAGAAAUUAUAAAUACAUUCUUAUAUUCUAAUAUUUUUCAAAUAAAAAUUGUGAGUUCUCGAGAAAUUAGAUUUUUUAAUUUCAAAAUUAACCCAAUAAAUUGCACCCUUUUUGAUUCCUAUAUUUCAUUUUUCUUAAAAGAUUCCUAUUAUCAACACCUCUUUAUGAAAAAAUUGAACAAUUUUCUUUCGUUCAUGUCUCUCUUCCCUAUUGACAAAGAGUUCUUCCCAAGUAAACUAAGCUACCAGUAAAGCCAAGUAAGAAUAUAAUAACAGAAUGUAAGAACCACACAAGUAAUCCUGAAGUUUUUUUUUUUAAGUGAGUGUACCAUAUACCUCUAGUAACGUGAUGUAAUAGAAAUCCUCCAUAUGCUGCAUGUAAGCACUUCCAUC
rnacentral:lncRNA from 1 species